rnacentral:lncRNA from 1 species
UUCAAUUCGUCGACUUAGGCAGGUUGUAUAUUUCUAUCAUUGGAUGAGAUAACUAUAUCUCAGGUUAGCAAUUUGCACUAAGAACUCUUGCAGAUAUAUUAUUUCAUUAUCUGAAUAUAUUGAUUUGUUCCUCUUUCAAAAGGUUAAACAAUUAUGCAAUACAAUAUGAUUUCUGUGCAAACAUGUCCUGCUACUAAGCUCAUCUGCCGAAAAGAAAAGUCAAAUCCUGAAUAUAUUGCCUCUCAACCUCACCCAUGGUCUUUAUACAUACUGAUGGUAGCUUUUAGUGGACUUUGUUCACUUGAAAGUGUGAAUAAAACUAAUCUGCAAUGGAAACAUAUAGCGGUAAGACAUCUCAUUCCUCCUUUUCUUUUUCUUUUGUCUUCUUGUGCAGAAGUGGAACAUAUCUUUGUAAGUUCUGUUUUUCUUCCAUACGAAUCAGUUACUUUUCUUAAAACAUCACAUGAAGUCAUCCUAAACUAUUUAGAACUGAAAUUUUAGCUACCAUUGACCUAUGCUGUGGCCAUUGGACCUUUGGCAUGCUAUUUUUGUCCCUUAAUUUGGUUUGUCCUCUUAGCUAGAGGCACUAUAGCUAGGUUCUCUCUUUAGGAGCACUAAUGCAUUUUGGGGAAGUAGGGUAUCUCUCCUUAGGUGUGCGAAUUCAGGCACUAAAAACCAUAUACUUCUGUUAUAGUUUUUUUCUACAAUUGAAAUAGUUAUUGAUAACAAAAAUAUGCUUAACAUGCUACAUACAUAGUCAUAUAACUAAAAUGUGAUAAUUCAAAUUGAAGCCAAUGUACCAUUGGAGCAACUACUGUGUUCCAAAACUCAUAUAUUUUAUUACAACAGCCAAGUAGGCUUUCAGUUAUUGACAGCCAGUUGGGGAUAAUAGGAUAAUAUCGAAUGAGGUAGUUUUUAGUGUAGGAACUACGAUCCAUUGAUAAUGUUUCGCUGAAUGCAAAUUAAAGGAGGCUUAAGUGUCUACACAGAUGUCUCCAGAUUUUUACUAUAAAGUGCCAGGGUAGAAUGAAAAAAGCUUGACUAUGUGAAGUUAUUUUUUUUCUCAGCUACCUGUGUUCCAAACUCAGAGAGUUCAUUUCAACAGCCAUAUCUUCCCCCUUGCCCAGUCCUAAUUAUUUGUUGUGUUCAUUCUUUCAUGCUGGCUCUAAUCAAUCUGGCCUGUUGUUGCCAUUUCCUACACAUCCACUAUCUUGCCCCUCCUGCGAAUCAGUCAGCUAACACCGUUUGAUAUGCAUCACUACUUAAACCGUCGAUCCUCCCUCUGAGUUCCGAUAAGAUGUUUCACAUAUUACAUGUAUAUGCAGCUGAUAUAUAUGAAGCCCAUGAUAUCUCUUAUCUGUUCUUGGUUUCCUACUUAUUGUAAGUUCCAUAUCAAUGAUAUAUCUUCUUUCAACAGCCACUUGCCAAUUGUUGUGCUUCUAUUUGGAUCGUAUGGAAGUUCUUUGUUGUUUUCUUGAAGAGGUAAUAAUCUUGGUCUUCUGAAUGCUCACCACAUGUCCACGAUAGUAUGCUACGGGCAGAUGCUACAUCUCUUGAGUCUCCUCAACUUCCCUCCCUUUUCAUCAGAUAAUAUUUUAUUUGUUAAUUUGUUGUUAUCUGGUAGUUAUUUCUUUAUGGUAAAAGGCUACAUCUUUACCUGAUCUUUCUUGCACAAUAACCAAUACUACCAUGUCACUCAAUGGCUAUGGAACUUACUGACAAUCACAAGGAAUGUUGCAUAUCUAGCAACAAGAAAUUCUAUACUUCAGUUGAAGAUUUUGAUAUUGGCUAGAACUUUACUAGACCACAAAUACACAUCUUUACAAUGUCUUCAUUAGGUCAGUUCAGGCUUUGUGUAUAACAAGCUAAAUGGCAAUAUGUUGAGACAUGCCCUGAAUAUAAACGGUAGUAUCAAUACCAGAUGUAAAUGGCUAAAAUUGUUGAUAUGAAUAGUCCAUAUUUUCUUUUUUAUCUACAUUUUGGGCAUUUAGAUAAUAUUUACUUUUUUAGAAUGCUAUAUAUGUGUAAUAGGUACACUAGAGAGUAGAGAUAGAUCAAGAGGUGCGAUGUCUAUACUAGAUGCGUACUCUUCUCAAUUGUUAUCACGAGCAGUGCUGCUUGAGAAAUCAUCAAGUUCAAUAUGUACCUUAUGGGUUAUUAUGUGUUCUUGAUGCUAUCAGCCUUAUUUAUGGUCUCUUUUUGUUCUCAGAUGGUAUCAAUCAAUAUUAUUAACGGUUUAUCUUUUCUGGAAGUACUUUGUUUGUAGGUAACUAAAUAACAAAAACAAUUGGAGCUGAUGACAUAUGGGAUUUCAAAAAAUGCACAUGCUAUAUAUGUGGAGUUUGGAGAUAUGUUUUUUUUAUUUGACAGGAAUCUAGAGAUGUGUAUGUUCACCAGAUGAAUGUUUGUUCAUUACAUGUGCAAUAAUUAUAUUGCAAGGCUCAGAACAUUGAGUUGAUCAUUUAGCUAGAAAAUCAUACAGCCAUACUAGCUAAUUUAUACUUAUAAUUUGGUCCGCCUUUGUGCUAAAUUAUGUGUGCACAACAAAAUGCUAGCUUACAUAUAGUUCUUAUCUCAUGUAUGAUUACAAAUUACCAGCUGACAACUUCCUUUUAUUCAUCAUCUUAAGCACACGCGCUGCGUAGCGCGCAGUUAUUGCUAGUAUUCUCCAAGCGCACGCCAAAAAGCGGCCUGUGAUGGGUUGGGAGCAAAACCUCUUCCCUAGACGUGGAGAACGAAUAACCCGGAUUUGGGAGUUAGAUCGAUCGAGAGUGCGGGUAGGGACUCUGUUGGAAUAUGCUUUUGACCGAAAAUCCUCAAAUUUCAAGAUUGGGAAUGAUAUUAAAAAACUCUUAGUGAUGCUCUAAGGUUGCCGUUGAUCCCUCUUGCGUCACCACAUGAUCCCUCUCCACCGUGGAGACACCGUGGGCGAUGACGACGCGGCGGCUGUGCCAAUGGUAUGAGCUUUGGCGUCCGCAUCUGCCUCAGCCCCUGGUUUACGCCUCCCACCUCCUUCCAUGGUGAACGGCUUUACCUCUACGCCCAUGGCCCCCGCGGCAUUCGUGUCGCCAUCCAUGGUACGCCCCCUUCACCGUCAUGGCUCCUCGCCGCUCUCCCCCUUCCUUUCGUUGUCCCCAUUUGGCUCCACGGCGCCUCACCAUCUAUCCACCCUCUCCUUCUGAUCCGAUUGUGCCACCGCCCCUGGUAUUGGAAGGAAGAAGGAAGCAGGAAGCACUGGCAGCAGUGACGUCGAUGCUAGGGAGACCCUAAACCCUAGAGCCAAGCUCUAGAAUCGAUCCCAUUUUGCUUACCGGCAUAGGGCCAACCACAGUGGUGUCGUUCCCUCGCCACUGCCGAGCACCGCGUUGGCCGUCACCGCUCGGGCCGCCGCAUUCCAUCCUCUUCGGAAGGCAGCGGCGAGGAGCGGCCUCCCCCCUCUCUCCUGUGGUCAGGGCGGCGAGGCCAUCAGAGGCGGGGAGGGAACGGAAGGCGGUGGUAAGGAGCAGAAGUCGGCGGCAACAGGAGGUUGGGAGGCGGCGUUAAGGAGCUGUGCCACCCGUCGCCGGCUACCACCAUGACCCCAUCCAUCCAUCCAUCCAUUUGGCCCGGCCGCCGUGGGCGCCGCACGUCGAGCUCAUCUGGGCGGGAGCGGCGGCAGCUGGGGAAUCGGGCCGUUGCCACUCCCGCAUCUCCGCCGCUGUUCCAUGCCCUCGUCUCUGCUGCUCGCUGCUGUCUCGAAGUCGCGAGCUCGCAAAGGGGAUCCCGCUCUCGCUGGCCCCCGUCCCACGCUUGCGGUUUGCCAAAGGGAAGAGAGAGAGAGAAGGAAGGAGGAAGAAGGAAAAGGAGAGAGCAUGAUUUAGGUGGGCCCCACAUGUCAGUGGGUCCCACACAUAUUUUUUAAUUCUAAUGCACGUCAACGCCACGUGUAACCUAGACCAAGUCAAUACUACCACGUAGGCGCUACGUCAGCGAAAUCACCCUCCAAAACUACCGAGUGAGUCAAAUUGCACCGAUUCAAAUAGUUAGGGGAGGGGGUCGAGAUAUCUGAUAUUGUGGUUCAGGGAUACGGAUCAGAGGUCACUAAUUAAGGGAGUCAAAGUGAACUUAUUCUGAAAGGAAAUGAGAAGGAAAACGGCUUAUUGGGCUUGGGGAGAUAAAAUAGAGUGAUGCAGCAACAACGAUGUUCCACAGCAAAUAGAGCAUUUGUUGCUUAUAUGCUAGGGGUGCAGCUGUCGGGGGUGCCGGAGGGGGCCAACCCCCCCGCCCCCCCUAGAAAAUUAGUUUGUAGUUUCUCAUCUUUUUCCAAAGUAAAAUAUAAGAUACUUAUUUGUGAGAUUAUUAAGUAGUUCACAUUGAAAGGAUUUAGUAAUAAAGAAUAGUUCCAAACUUUCAACAAUAUUAUGAAAGAGCUGAAAUUCAAGUUUUUUUAAGGAUUAAUUUAUGCAUUGAUUGUUAUUUAUGGUGACUAUUUGGCCUCCUUUACUAUCGAUAUUGGUUAUCCGGUCUUAUGGCUUAUCCUUAUCCCCAGACCCUCCUAACUCUUAACCUCAAAUCCUGGCUUCGCCACUGUAUGCUAACGAGGACUAAACACAAGUAAUUACGGCACGGCGGCAUCUAAUUAUUUGUCUUUGUCUAGCCAACAAAGAGCACAUCUCACGCUCCGUUUGGAAAACUAAGAUGAUCAGAUCAACGAGUCCAAAUAUCGGGCAUUUUGGCCAUAUCGUCUUCGUCUUCGUCGUCUUAUUCGUCUUCUUCUUAGCGGCCAUCUACGUCGUCAGCGACACAGAGCCCCGGCGGCCUGGCACCAAGAAGCCGUGAGGCAGGCGACGGCUUUACAGGUAAGUUUUUGUUGUCUCGUGAUCAAUUGAAUAUUUUUGCCGAUAUGCUUGACGGAUAUAUAAUACUUUAGGGACCAAAAAUCGACUUUACAAUUUGAUUAUUUGGUAUAAAUUGUAUCUCUAAUAACUCCAACAUCAAGUUAAUCUUUUGAUACCAUUCAAUUUCCUGUUUCUUUUUUAAAAUCUAUAUAUCAUUUUAGAACUUGUAAACGCUACUUUUAGUCUUUUUCUAGCAUGUUCUCGGCAAAUAAACGAUAUCCAUCUCACAAAGUAAUGCUUUGUCUAUGCAAUGUAGUAUAAAUGAAGGGCAGAAAAGUUAUUUAUGCUAUUUUCUUAAUUGUUAUCAUAUGUUCUUUUAUUCCCUUUCUGCAUGAAUCUCUUAGAAAUUUGAGUGAAUUUAACAAAACUUCAGAUAAUUUGUCUAAAUAUUAAAUAAAACAACAUAUUUAAGAGCAUGUAUCGGAGAACUAUAGAUUUUGCGCUCAAGUUAUCGUUACCAACACCAUUAACUGACAAGUGGUUCCUACCUAUAGUCUCGCAAAAACUGUAGUUUUAUGUGCUAGAACUACUUGUCAGAUAAUUAAUAGUAGUGUUAGUUACCAGUGUCGUGUAAGGGUGAAGGCUAAAAAGUAUGGUUUUUUUAUACUGUAGUGUAAAAUAUAUAUUGCUUUGAUCCAAAAUCCCAAUUCUAUAUUUUUUUCACGAUAAUAUAGAUAAAGUAGCUGUAGUUUUGCGAAAUUAGAUCUACUACAAAAUUUAAAGUUAACAUACAUUGUACUAUUAUUACAGGAUGGCUGGACACUUUAGUAGGUUCGCUUUUCAAGGUACUGCAUGGAUUGUAUUUCUUUGCAUCAUUGGAGUCAUAGUUGGUGCUAUCGGAAUAGUCGUAGCCAUCUUCCUUGUGCGAAGACUGUGACGGUACAUCCUUAUACGCCUUUUGCAUCUACUGGUUGUCACAUACCUUGUACCUACAAGAGGGGGUGACAAUUAUGGAUGAUGUGCACUCCUGCACCAUCUGCAUCACCGAGUAAUUUUACAUCUCUUUCACCCACAUUGCAUCAAUAAAGCGGUCCGAAUUGAUCCGUGAUGCCCGAUGUGUAGAGUAUUACUGUGAUAUUGUGAUGGUUGUGAUGGUACUCAUGUAUCUACAGUUUAUAUUUAGGAUCGGUAUUUGUAUUUAUGACUAUGUAAAUUACAAUUGCGGUGGAAUAAAAAAUUUACUUUAUGUAAGCUAGAAUUCUGGUGGAAUAAAUAUUUGUAAUUCAAUGUUGUGAAAGAGUUAAAACUUUUGGGUGGUGUUUGGUUAGUGGGGAAAAUAUGUAGUGGAAACUACAUCCUACAUGAAAACUUGCAAACUCGAUCGUGGGCCAUUGGAUCCAAAAUAUGCAGCCUGGAUGAAGCCUUGCCAGCCCAGCUAUCCCCACGAUAUAUUUUACGAAAUGCCCCCCGCACCAUGUUGUGUACAUUUUCCCUUUAUUAUUGAUGAUUCUCUGUAAUCUCUAGAAAAAACUUAUUGUUUUAUUUAUUUUCUAAGUUUAGUUAAUGCAUGUGUAAAAAAAUGUAGGGGGUAACUUAUGCUCUCAUCCCCCAUUGAUCAGUUUCCGUUCUUUUUUUAUAUAUAUACAUUUGGUUUAUGAUUCUUAAAAUUUUGAAUUCAUGUUUUCAACGUUGGUGCAUAUUCAACAAUCUCACACAGGUGCGAAUGUCGAGACUUGCACAUUAAGGUUGUAACUUUUUCUAUAUAUAUGAAUUAUUCAAUAUCAUGUCCAUGUGCGACACGAGGUCCGUGUCAAGGUCAGAUUUCAAUUAUUUUGUGUCACGGUCUUGCACAAUUAGAAUAAUUUACCUGGUGUAAUGUGAAAUAUGCUGUUUUGAAAAAAAAAAUUCUUAAAACACUUGGAUCAUUUGUCAAGUUGCGCGCAAACACAAGCUCAUGUCAAGGUCUACACAAUUUCGUACAUAAAACCCCACGCAAGUCAAUUUCUUUUCUAACUCCCCCUAUUUUGUUUCCAUCAAUUUCUCCUCAUUGUUUAAGUUUCUUAUUUCAAUAUCCCAUACCCCAUAUGCCUUUAACGUGGCGGGGCUUUGAAAACCUCCUUUCUCGCUUCGAGUUUCCGCCUUUCCCAAGUCCCGCACGAGCAAGGUAAUGAUCGCAAAACACGAUGGCUCAACUUGCUAAGUUGUGCGCCAGCUAUAGUUUCUACGAUACCAGCCUCUCGAGCGCAGGAGGCCCAUGGGUCACUACCAAUUGAACUGACUAGGUAAAGUAGAUGAAAAGGGGAUACUGGGGGGAAGUUAGACGAUAAAUUGACUUGCAAGGGAGUUUGUGUAUGAUUGAGUUGUAGAGGUGAAAAUAAAAACACUACUGAGUUGUAAGGAUAUUUGGAUUAUCUCCCUUGUUUUUGCUGAAUAUUUUCACCUCUACACUACUGAGUUGUUUUUUUUGCACACAUAUUCAUCGAUUUUGGAAUGGAUCUCUAGGGAGAAUCUGGAGCAGCACUUGGAAGUACCUUUCGUUCGUUCUCAAAUCUAGGUCACUGCAAUCAUAUACUCACCAUGUCAUUAGCAACCUUAAUAUCUUAAAGAGCACUGCUCAUAGAGUUAUUUGACUAGAUUUUAAUAAUGUGCACAGCAAUGUUAUACAUACGCCAAUUAGUUUUAUAUGACAUGGAGUUUGAGGGGGAUGUACUCUUGGAAAACUGAAUUCAACAAAUAUUGGAAUACCAGUUUUUGCUGGGAACAAUGAUCUUUUCUAAGUUUGUGUGCCUGGCCAUUAGGCCUGUUUUGAAGUAAAAAAAAAAAACUUAGCAAAAUUUUGAGAAAAUCAGUUCACUUUACACACAGCAGAAAAAAGCUUUCCACAUAGAGCCUGUCAUCUAAGGCCUGUUGCUUGUUAGAUAAUGGAAGGUGUCUGUAUCAAGGAUGCACAUGACAAAUGCAACACGCACAUAAUGCAUAAAAAACAAAAGAAAGGACAUGAAGCAAACCUCCAAAACCUUCAACUGAUUAUAGAGAAAAAAACAUCUAGCCCUCACAAAUUCUACAUCUAGGCAAUUUUAGAGAUAAAACCAACCUGAGGUAAGACCUCAAGUUUUCUCCUUGUUUUGAUCUGCGAUGUAUGAUUGAAAUAUUCCCAUGUUUCUAAUUCACUUGGUGCAUAUAUUCCAAAGUUACCAAACACACCAUAUGGGCUGGGCUAUGUUCACCUGUAACUCAAUGCAAUGCCUGAGCUGCACGUUAAAAAUGAUUGUUAGCUGUUGGGCCCAAAUACUCAAUGCACACAAUGUUUAGAUGUAAUAAUCCAGCUAACAGCUCAAGAUUUAGAUGGCACUUACUUGUUGACAACGCAUCAGACCUACAUUGGAGAUGGGCAUCCAAAUGGCAUCGUAUGUUCAUGCAAAUGUGUCAAAGGAACUAAAGUUUAUCAGAAGCAGAAUAGGUGGAGAGGCUGCCUUGCUGCCCAGGAAAGCAGCAGGGCAGAGUCAACCCAAGCAUCUCACAGUUCCAGAGUUCAUAUGCAGCAAGAGCAAGAAGGCUGUCUUCUUAGUACCCGUACCAACAGUGUUGUGACCUCCUUUAGUGUAGGGGUUUCUCUGGGCCAGCAAGCAGUACUUUCCACAGCUGGAUAGCUGAUGGUAGUCACCUAUGGCUGGUCUCCCAGAUUGAGCUGGGAGCUUGAAAUCAAGAUCUUAUAGCACAACUAGCCCUGGCAAGAUUCUGAAGUUCCUGUCCUCGACUUGUGUAAAGCAGUCACUAGCAUGACACAGAUCAAGGAUCUCAGUUCAUUGUCAGAAAAGAGCUUGAGAUAAACUUUAUCUUCUCAGUUUUUUAACGGUGAACUUGGAGUGGCCUAAAAAAACCAUUUUGGAGCGAAUGAGAAUCUGUCACUGGACUUGGAAAAACAUUAUCAAGGAAAUGGAGUAAUGGACUUGCAUAACACCCAUAUUAAAGUGACAUAAGAACUAACCAUACCUUGAAAAUAAGAUUUGAUAUUUCAUUUCACAUCCAAUGUGACAAUCUUACAGACAGAGCUGUUAGGAACAAGAAUACUGAAUAUCCUGCCAUCACAUACCAUUCUGGAACUAUCAAACAAUACCUCACAGUCAUGAUUCCUUUCCUUCCAAAUGUAGAAAUGACAAAGCCAGGCACUCCUGUGGUUUUCCAUGUCAUAGCUGGCACUGCUACCUCCCGUGUCCCAUCAUAGUGAGUAUAAUCUGAGAAACUGCAAUCAUGGGCACUAAAUACAAUCCUGUGGAGACAGAGAUGUGAUCUGGAUUUAGAACUACAGGUGUAUUUCUGAAGGAAGCAACUCAUUAAGAAUUUUUUCUCGAAAACAACUCACUAAGAAUUUUGAUAAACGGGAACAUCAGAUGAUUGAAAAUAAAGCCAACCGUUACACAGGUACAGAUAGCUUAGUUGAAUAAUUUUUUCUGGUUUAGUACACACCGAAUUCUAUAGGGACUAACCUUGGUUUAAGCGCUUGAAGAACAUAUUGAGUUGAAUUUGCAGGGAGGGCAUGUAGUUGAUCAGACCUCCUGCCAUCAGCUCCUCUGUAGAAGUAGUGUAUGUUAGUAUAAUAAUAAUUUACUUAUUGAAAAAAAAGUAUAUUAAUAAUUACAACAUUUAGAAGGUGCAGGUAGACGACAAUCACAGAUUUACACUACAUUGGGUAUUUCAUGACAUUACAGUUUCAAAGUCAGGAAAAUCAAAAAAAAAAUAAUUAAAGACUGGAUAGGUAAAGCCCAAAAGUAUCUGUCAGAAUAUACCAAAUUCUCUUUGGAUUUUGUCAACUGAAAGAAACAAGUGAGAUAUAAAACCAUUGGUAUUAAAAAGGCAGAAAGGAUAUAAGUCUCUACUUGUAAACCACAAAACAUACCUUUCUUUCAAACUUGAGGAGACCGGAGGUUCUGAAAUAGUUCCCUCUGAAAACUUAUAUAGUGGAAAGUGGAGCAAAACUACAGGGCCUGACCCUGAUUCCAUGCUGUUUUGCCUCCAAUUAAAACCCUCUCUUUCUAUACUCCCCAAAGAAAAAUGUCCUGCUUCAUUCACCAUUUUCUGUUGAAAAUGGUUGUUUUCCUUCUCUAUAACCUUCUCAACGCUGAUCCGCAGGGGAUUGUUUCCACAGAGCAGCGCAACUGAAUUAAGUGACACAAAACUGACAUUACCAAUUUCAAAAGUACCGCAACCACUUGAAUCCAAUCCUGGUAAAUGCUUAGCCAUAUGGUGGACAAAACUGUCAUCCAAGUUGGCACAUCCUCCUACAUCUUUAUCGCCUAAGGCAAUAUGAAGAGGAAGGUCAGAGUAUUGCCCCAAUAUCCCUUUGAAUUGGUCAAUAACGUCUAUCCAUUUGCUUUCCUUCAGCUGAAAACCCAUUGCCGAGAUGUCCCCAAGGACUACAAUCAUAUCUGGCCUAAGUGUUUCAAUAGAUUUCUGGGGAAAAAAUAACAUAGCACAUAAACCUUUUAUACACAGCUGGAUUAACAAGACAUGCAGCUAUGCAAGUAAAUAAUCCUAUAGCGUGCAAUUGCAACAUAACUUAGCUUGACACUUAUCGACAAUAUACUUUCCAUCUCAAAUAUUGGUAUAGUCAAAACUCAAAAGUAGCUUUUGGUGGAAUUACUCCGAUGUCUUGAAUCUUGAUAGGUACCUAAAGGCACCAAAUUUUCGAACAUUGCACGCUUCAAUGCAGCAAUUAAGCAUAAACCAGUGAAACAAACAGGUAAACAGAGCAUAAUUAACCUCAACAUUGGUAAUAUCUACAUUUUCCAUUCAGCAAUAGAAGUCGAAUGCACCUGAAAAAUGAAAUUACCCAUUUUUUCCCAAGCUAGCCCCAUCAUCUAUCUAACAAAGUAACAAUGCCAUCCACCGAAGGACAGACAACGAUCUUUCAUCUAACUUCACUAGCUAGAGUCCCCGACGCACAAAAGUUCAUACAAACUUGGGGAGCGCACGAAUCUGAAUCUGAUCACUUACGGCGAAGAGCUUGGACAUGACGUGGUUCCGGAAGAAGCGGUCGGCGUAGGUGGCGUCCGACCCGAGCAGCAUCAGGUCGGAAACCAUCAUGACCCUCAGGUCGCCGGGGGCGGGGGCGGGGGCGGGGGCGGGGGCGGUCGAGCCGCCGGAGCAGGUGGGCGUGGCGAGCCAGUCCUCGAAGGCGAGCAGGGCGCCGACGAGGAGGAGAGGCAGCCACGGGCUGGGCCAAGCCGCCAUCACCGCCGGCGAGCACCGAGCCGCGGCGAACGGCGGCAGUGGGGCGGAGGUCAAGGUUGUUGGGGGUUUGGCCGCUGCUUGGUCGCCGCCGGCCAUUGACGGGCGGUUGUUAACUUGCUUUGCCUGUUUACUACUCCCUCCUUCUCAAAAUAAAAUUUUAAACUUCGAAACAGUAUUCGAGAUACUAUUUUAAUAAAUAAUAUCUAUAAAAUAAAAUAUUUUAAAUAUAAAAAGUUGUAUAUUAUGAUAGUUUAAUUAAUGAUAAAUCUGGUAACAUUAGUUUUACUUGAUUGUUCUUUUUUUUAUUUUUUUACUAUUAAUAGUCAAAGUUAAAAAAUGAUUGACUUGAAACUAUGAUGUUUAUAUUUUGGGACGGACAAUAUUAUUAUUAUUAUUUUGAGUGGCUUUUCUGCCUGGUUAUUUGCUCGCGGUGAGUUUUUUUUUAAUACAACUACAUACGUUGGCUCCCAUCACACUUGCACACUCACCCAUGUGAAUGCACACACGUACACCAUAUCUGUAUACGCACUGCGGUGAGUCAUUUUGACAAACACAUUAAGUACUCUAUUUUGGGUUACUAAGUUGUAGUUAUAAAUAGGAAAAGUCUAUACAUACUAAAUUUUAUCUUACUAAAUUCUUACUAACACUACGUGUCACGCUGUGAGUACAUCUAGAUUUUCUAUAACUUCCAUCUAAUUAAAUCAAAUGGUUGAGAUCAUUGUUUGUAAGAGUUUUGUAAAAAAAAAAUUAGUACGUGUAGCAGUGCUCUUAUAAAUUAUUAUCAGGUGUUUGAAAUAGUGUGAAUACCAUAACAUAAAAAAACAUUUUUUUCACAAAACUAUAUAUCUGUGAUCAAACUAUUGUAAAACUAUAUAUUUAAGACGUUACAUCGCAAAACUGAUUUAGCAUCAAAUUUAUCACAAAGUUAUAAAUUUACUAUCAACUAUCAUAAAACUAAAGAUUUAAUUUUAAUAUAAUCAUAAAAAACUACAAAUUUUAGAGUUUAAAUCUUUAGUACUAAUGUUAUCUUCAAGUUGUAAAAUGUUGUAGUUUUGUGACUAAAUUGGUGCUAAACUUCUAAACCUUUAGUUUUUUUUAUAAUUUUGUUACUAAAUAUGUAGAUUUGUGAUAAAGUGGUUUAAAUUUGUAGUUUUACGAUAAUUUUUUUAAAGUAUUGUAGUUUUAUGAAAUUUACUCUUAACCAAACUCAUAUUCACUCCAUUCUUUUUUUUUAACGAAAGACACAAUAUUCACUCCAUUCAAUUAUAAACUUAGCAUUUACGACAAUAAUUGAUUAAAUUUUGGCGUCGAUACCUUUCAAACACUCAGUUUUAAAAAACAAGAAACUGAUAUACGCAAAUAUGCCCUGAAAAGUUCAAUCGUAAGUUCGUAACAUCAUAACUUAUUAGAUUUUUAUAAAGUUAUUAUAAUAUAAAAUCGAUUUUAUCCUAUAGGUCAUAUUUAGGAUCAUAUAUUCUUUUUAAACAAGUAAUUAUCGUUGAUGGGAAUAUGAUUCUCUACGAUUAUUGUUGUGCAGUGCAGUAGUUAUAUCUGACAUAUGGCAUCAUUGAUAUUUCUGUGCAACCGUUAUUGAUAUAAAUAUUAAGGAGUAGUGAAAAAAAUAUAACAAUAUAACGAGUACAUAAUUUGUCUAUACAUAUAUACGAGACAACUUUCUCUGCCCAAGGGGUUCAUAUAAGUGGACAAAAAUAACCAUACAGCUAGACAGGUUCUACAAAUUACGAAAAUUACUGUAUUCUUAAUUAGUCAGUACUCGUACUAAUUUCAGUCAUGGGAUUCUUGUCAGAUACUAGUAUCUACAAUAUCCUCUGUUCUUGGUAAUAAACCUUCUUAUACACAAGACCCUAUCAUUGCAAACUUGCAAAAGGGGAUGAAAUAUAUAAUCAGUUCACGACACGUCACCCUGGUGACACUGCGAUCUGUCACCGCCGAUCCGGGCGUUGAGGGAGUAGUAACCCUUCAUGAUCUUGCCGGCGGCGCCGCCGCCGUCGCCAUCGCCGCCGUCCACCUCGACGGCGAACACGCCGCAGACCGGCCGGUGGUCGGAGAACCUCGACUCUCCGCGCAGGUACUGAAGCUGCUCGAUGCCGUCUCCCUGCCACAGUAUCCGGUCGCACCUACACUGCCAUGGGAAGUGGUCAGGAAAAAAAAUGCUCGACGGCCGGAAUCCAUGGCUGUAUCGUACCAACGGCCGGCGGUGGCCGCCGCCGGCCGGCGACCGGCGUACCAUGCGGGCGUCCUCCGCUUCUUCUUGGACUUGGCCGUCUCGCCGGCGUACGCGUCGGAGUUGUGCGUGUACUUGUACGUCGGCGCGAAGCAGAUCUUUCCUUCGUUCCAGCCUCUGAACACUCUCCCCGCUUCUCUCUCGAUCAACAGCUGCACGCAAUCAAUUGAUCAGAGUUUGAGCGAUUUUGUCUGAAGAAAUUCAGCAGUUCAGAUUCUGAAAAUGGAAGAUUGAAGAUUUUUUAGUCACGUGAAUACCUGAUCUUUCUCCAGUAGAGCGUCCCAGUCGUUGUCCUCCAGUAGUGUUCUUGUCUCGUCGUAGCUUAACGACAUGCGGUAGUUCAGAUCGCCGAGCCAGAUCAUUCGGCUGGUUGAGAUUGCAAAUGGAAGCAAUUAAUCCAAGAUUUUUUAGUACUCCAUCCGUCCCUCCAUUUCAGAUUAUAAGACGUUUUGACUUUAGUCAAAGUUAAUCGGUUUUAAAUCUGACUAAAUUUAUAGACAAAUAUAGUAAUAUUUGUACUCUCUUCGUUUAACAAUAUAAGACUUUCUAACAUUACCCACAUACAUAUAGAUGUUAAUAAAUCCAAACACAUACAUAUAUCUAGAUUCAUUAACAUCUAAAUAUAUACGAACAAUGCUAGAAAGUCUUAUAUUGUGAAACGGAGGAAUAUUACUAAAUUAGUUUUAUCAAAUCUAUAAUUAAAUAUAUUUUUAUAAUAAAUUUAUCUUGAUUAAAAAUGUUACUAUAUUUUUUAUAAACUUUGUCAGUUUGAUUUAGACCAAAGUAAAAAAAAAACGUCCUAUGAACUGAAGGGAGGGUAUAUUUGUCACUCUGUCAGUGUAAGAUUGUGGAGGUGAAGUUUAGUUAGCUUUGCUUACUCGUGGUCAAGAAUCCUCUCGGGGACGCGGCGGGCGGCGGCGGGCGCCGGGCGGCAGGCGCGCGGGAAGUGCGCGCUCUUGAGGAUCUCGGCGACGUCGGCGUUGCGCCGCAGCUCGUCGCCUUCCUUCUCGCCGGAGGCGAGGUGGCUGCAGACGAAGCAGAGGCUGGUGUGGUGCAGCGUCAUGCUGAUGGCGAUGCAGCCCUUGUUGCCGAGCCACCCCAUGAUGCCGCGCCCGACGCAGUCCACCCGGAGAUGGCCGACGUGCUCGACGAGCUCCUUCCUCACCCACACCGACAGGAAGAGCCCCACCAUCUGCUUGCUCGCGAUCAGGCAGUAGCUCAUGCCGCCGCCGCCGCCGCAUCCUGCCUCGCACUGCGCCUCCGUCGUCGGCGCGUCGUCUUCGUCGGCAGCUGGCGCCGCCGUCUCGCCGGCUGGCGCGGGUGCGUCGGCGAGGUACACGGACUCGCGCACCUCCGCGGCACGGCGGCGCACGGAGGAGUGCUCCGGCGAGCAGUUGCACGUCUUGACUAGCGCGCUGUCGACGCGGUAGCUGUUGCUGAGCAUCUUGAGCGACGGCGUGUGGAAGAAGAGGUUGCCGCUGGCUGACCUCGACACGGCGUCGCGCCGCCGGGUCCGGGCGCCGUUCGACGACUCCGACGUCGUCGUCGACGACGACGGCGGCGGCGUCAAAGGCGAUGGCUCGUCGCCGUCGGCCGGUUCUUGGGGCAUGUUCAGCGCCUGGUGGAUCAGCGCCAGCCACCUCGCCGCCGGCUCGUUGUCUUCGAGGACGAGCACAUUGCCGGCGGUCAGGGGGACAAUCUCCUGAAACCUAGUACUCAUGUAUCGUCAGAAAUUCAGAAUUUGGCACACCUCACAUGCCUAAAGAUGUUGACAAUCAAAAUCAAUUUUUCGAAUGGAUUCUAAUUCCUCGAGUGGAUUGGAUUGUCCCUCAUAUAACAUCUUCAAUCGAAUUUAAUGCAAAUGGUCAUAAAAAGUUACUAAAAAACGAUAAUGAAAAGUAUAGCAAUAUCUACGACUACACUAAAAUCAAGUUCAAAUUCAUCUGCAAGUUGAGAAAAAAAAAAGAUAAUCUAGGUAGUAGGUACUGUUCAUACGCUAGAUUUGUCUCUCUUUUUUUAAAAUUUCUCGAUGGCUGAGUUAAAUUUAGACUUAAGAUUUUCUAAGUGAGUAUAUGUAUGUUGUAUAAAUGUUGGUAAUUUUUUCUAAGAUUUUCUAUAACUAUUUGAAUAUAUAGUAUUUGAAUAAGCGAGGGGACGUCCGUUUGAGAGAUUAAAACAAUUUUCUUUUUUUUUAUUAGAAAUUUACCGAAGUAAUAUGCUGCCAAGGAAAGAUUUAUGAUAUGAAAGUGACAAAUAUCAACGAGAAAAUUUUAGAAAAAGGACAAGUUUUUCCGUACCCUAAGACGUAGAUGUCAGGAGAUUCUUCAACCUGCAGAAAGUCUUGAAGGUUAAGUCGUUUAUUAGGAGUUCUUCCUCCCACAUUCCAUGUGGCAACAAACAUCCUGCAAGAAUUUCCAAUUCAGUCAUCGAUCACCAUGUUACCUUUUGCAAUGAGGAUUAUUAAGCAAACAUCAAGAUUCAGAUCAGAACAAAAUGAGAAAGCAUUUUCACAUUACCGGUACUGUGUAGCAUUGUUGUUCUUCCUUGGCGGCGAACCCACACAGUUUAGGCUCGCACUCUUCAAUCUUGCCCGUUGAUUAAUGUAAUUGAUAUCUGAAAAUCCAGAUGGGUUAGUCAAAAGAAAAGAACAAACUGCUCAAAUCGGUCUUCAUUUUCUCAUGGUUGUGAUCUCAAAGAUGAUCAUAUUCUCGGUUCAUAGUGUCGUAUCAAAUUACCUGAAGAACUUCUGCAGACAGAACCAGAUGUAUCCAUCCCUAUCGCAAAUAAUGCAAAUCCAAAUUAGAACUCAAUAACAAAUUCUCUUUGAAAACAAUAAGAAUAAUCACAAGUGAUGAGCUAUCCCUCACCAUUCGAGUCCCACCCUUUCUUGCCGAACAUGUUGGACGACAUGAUGCAUGCUCACUGGAUCAGGAUGACAAAAAAAAACGCCAAGAAAAAUUCAGAUGAUCAGCGUGCACAUUUCUGCAAUCUAAUCGACACACAAAAAGCCAAUGGUUUGCAGCAAGAUUUCACCUGAUUCUUGUCUCCUGCGAUCUGGUGUUCGACAGCAAGAAGAAGCAUGGAGAUUGGGCGUUCCAUUGCCACCAACGCCGCGGCCGUUGCUGCGACCACGCUCCGAGAGGUUGCCGUGAAUCGAGGGAGAGAAACGUCGAGGGUGGUUAGCCUGAUGUGGAGGAUGCAUGCAGAAGGACAUGAAAAUGUGGGAGAGGGAGUGGGUGGUAGGGAGGGAGUUGUGAUUUGUGAGGGCAAAGCUAACUGCAAAUGGUUUUUGGGCUUUUUUUUAUUUCGAUAAUGGAUGUUAAACCUGGCCAUUGCUUCCACUAAAGCUCACUUAUAAUAAAGUUUUUACCUCCAAGCCCAAGUACGACAGAAUAAAACAAAGGUAGAUGAAAAGACGACACAAAGACACCAACCAAAGAAAAUAAGCAACUUAUUCAAAAUUCAAAUAUAUUGCUAAAUAUUCAUCCAGAGAUGAUAAAAAAUUACAUAAUGAUUGACUCUAUAUUUUAGCAUGCGGAGCAUAUGACCUCCGUGUCCUAUUCACUACUUUGAAGUUGGCCCCAGAACUGAAUCUGCAGUACGUUGCUAUGAAUAAUACCCGCAUAUAAAAUUUAAUUGGAGUCUUGUCAAAUACCAUAUCAUUCCUACUAAGUUAUAGGGCCCAAUAUUAAAUAGACGCUCCAAUCAAAAUAUAUUUUUUUGGUUUUUGAGUUCAUCUUCACCAACCAAUUCCCAAACACCUGAGAAAACUAUGUGGUGUUUUCGACCCACAUGAAACAAAGUUGGUUCUUCAAACAAAUUUAGCGACACAGAAUAGAUGUUGGACAACCUCUUCAUGCAAACAAAAAUGACACUUUGUACUAUGAUUUCAAUUCCUUAUUGCUAAAUUAUCUUUGGCCAAUACUACCCCUUUUAAGCAAAUACCACAUAAAAAGUACUUUUUUAAUUUCCACGACACUUUAUGCCUUUUCACAUGCCCUUUAAAAAUUUACGCCAAGUACAUUGAUAGAAUGGACAAUGCACCAUUUUUGAUGAAGGUUCCAUCUAAAUGUGUCAUUCUCAUCAUUAAGGUGGAUAUGUGCUGUUCUAACAACCAACAACCAAAUUAUUCUAGUUAACAAGAUACCCAACAAUGCCCUAUGAAAAAACAUUUAAAGGAAAAGGUUUUGGGGGCUAGUUUGGAAUUGUUAGCUAUCCCAAAAUUUGGUAAUGACAAAAUUCUAGUAAGCUAACAAACCAAAUUUUCUAUAAUAACAAAAUUUUGCUAAUGUUUGUUUAUGUAUUUUACUUUCACAUGAUUUUGACAUCAAACUAAACUUAAAUCUUUUAACACUAUCAAAUUUCGUUACAACAUCAAACCAAAACGGUCCUUUAGAAAGGGGAAUAUCCGGUGAAAACUAUCACAUAUGUGAAAAACCAUGAAAAACAGAUCAGAAAGUGCUCUAAAUUCAUGAAAAAUUGCUAGAUAUAGGUUUAGGUAUGAAAUACAUUACCACUAAAUUUCAAAUCUAAACUCUAUUUUCUUUGGGAGGAAAAAAAUAAAUUUCAGGUGAAUAGUUUCCGAUUACUUUGGGCACAAAUUACAAAGUUCUAAAAAAAGAAAAGGUACAAACCAAAAUACAACUAACAAAAAAUUGGAUAAAAUUGUAGUAAUACAAGCUAAAGACAUUACAUAGUACAAUUCAAAUUUUACCAUCUUAAGAACAUCUUAAGAAAAUACCAAAAGGUACCAUACUUUUUUAAUAUAAAAUUUAGUACCACCAUGUACUAAGUACGUCGAGGUAAAAAAAAAUAGUGUAAAUUUAGGUACUUAAGUUAUUUUCUUAAGGACAAUAAAAUUGCUCUCAACAAUAACUUGAAAAAAAAGAUUAAUAUGAAAAGUAAAUUUGCAAUUUGAUUUCAUACGAGUACAAAAGGUAGAUUUUUUUAAUAUUCAAAGUAUAGUAUGCAACAGUUGCAUACCAAAACCAGAACAAUGCCUCUCCCUUGAACAAUCCAAAUAAUAACACUCUCGAGUUUACCUCUCACAACCGCAGGAGGCGACGGCCAGCUCGCGAGGCUGCGGCGAUCAGCGGCGGCGUACGUGAGGCGCGGCGAGCAGCAGCUAGCUAGCAGCCGCGAUCUCAGGCAAAACGGCAAGAGCCUAGCACCGAUUGGUUUCUAAUGCCGCGAGUCCGAAUGCGAUUCCAAGCACUCGUCUCCUCGAUUCCGAUCCGGCGCCGGCGGCCAUGGCCGAAACCGAUUCCGAUCGAGUUCCAGACGCCUCGCCCACCACCGGUUUAAUUAAUUAAUCGCGCCAACCCAGAUGCUAAUCAGUCACGUUUAUCGGCGGAGUAGCUAAUCCGGUCGAGGAGGAGACGAGCGCGCGACGCGAUGAGCUUCCAGGACCUGCUCCGCGACAUGGAGGCCGGCGUGCUGCAGCCGGCGGCGCCGCCGGCGCAGGAGGUGGCGCACGGCGUGUUCCAGCUCAACACCAAGGUGGAGGCCCUCCGGUACAUGGCCGGCGCGCUCGGCACGCCCAGGGACACGCCCUCCCUCCGCGGCCGCCUCCGCGGCACGCGCGCCGGGAUCAAGCGGCUGGCGACGAGCACGUCCCAGGCGCUCAGGCAGGCCGCCGCCGCCGCCGACGACGACGAGUCGGUAUCCUCCUGCUCCAAGCUGGCCAUGGACUUCGAGGCCGCCGUGAACGAGUACCAGAAGAUCGAGCGACGCAUUGCGGCGGUCGAGCGGCAAGAAACCGCCGCCGCCGCUCGCCGCUCGCCGCCGCCACCAACUCCGGGCUUCAAUCACAUAAACAACAAUGGCGAUCACACAUUCCCCGAACAGAAGCAGACGCAGCUCGCCGUGCUACGAGACAUCAACCUGCUCGACAGCGAGAUCGAGCUCCACGAAGCCAUCAUCGCGGAGAGGGAGCAGGGGAUACUGGAGGUGCAGCAGGAGAUCGCCGACAUCCACGAGAUCUUCAGGGACCUCGCGGUGCUCGUCCACGACCAGGGUGAGUGCAUCGAGAUCGUCACCGCCAACAUCGAGAUGACCGAGGCGGCGACGAGCCAGGCGGAGGUGCAGAUCUCCAAAGCCGCGGGGAUUCGAGGGGAGAAGGAGGAGCUCCUGACCGGCGCAGGAACCGAGGACAACUCGCCGUCGAAAUGCUUGCUGCUGGCUGUUCUUGGAUUGUUUCUCUUCAUAGUUGGGUUAGUGCUUAUAUCAUGAACUGUAGCUUGAUGAACAGAUAUGUGUGGCCAAUGGCAAUGACCUUCAGGCAUCCAAAGAUUUAUUUAUUUUUUUGACUUGUAUAAGUAGCGGUAUUGAUUGGUUUACUAAUUUUUUUUUUUCAAAACACAUUGCACAUGUAGUCGCUCGUAUAAACGUGUACAAACUUAUAUGAAUGCACACUCACCUUAUCCCUAUAAACACCUCUAAGAUUGAGUUGAUAUAUCUUGAUUGAGGAAGUAACGACCGACGUCUAGCUGUUGAUGAGUUUACUAAUUGUGAGUAAUUAUAUUGUCAAUAUAGCGACCGUCGGAUAAAUUAGAAGUCAUUAUCUGAUUUCUGUGCGAGUACUGUAGCAAUCAUGUUAUUGUAGAUAUUGAUCAAAGUGCCGAGUGCCUACUAUGCAUAUGUUUAAUUUUUUUUGGGGUAAAAGGAAAUAAAAUACUCUUCCAGAGGGAGUCGUACUCGUAUAGGAAUUCUUUUAGGACAAUGUUUAAGUCAAACCUUCGGAAUAUAAAUCAUGAAUAACUCUCAAGUUGUUGAGUUUGAAAAUGUAAAAAUUAUAUAAAUAGAUUUGUCUUGAAAGAUACUUUCAUAAAAGUAUACAUAUAUCACUUUUCAAUAAAUAUUUUUAUGGAAGUAAGAAGUCAAAAUUGUGUUUUGGAGACCGUGUCGCUGUCCAAAACGUAUCAUUCAUGGCCAUCUGAGAAAUGAAAUUAAUUACAACUAUUGCCUAGUCAGACCUCAGGAAUAUUCAACACGACUGCGUAGAAUCUCUAUAUAUCCUUCGAGAAGGGUAGGUAAACAUUCAACGAAUGUAGAAUUUAGGCCCGAUUGAUUAACAUGCAUGAUGUGCAAGCAUUUCUAGGUUUUUAUUUUUACACACAGUAUAAGCAUUUCCAUCGUACUUUCAAUAUACGGAAAUCUAUAAUUUUUUGAUAAUGACUCAAUGAGAUAUUUGACAAUACAAAAAUUGAAAUUUGAUCACUGAACCAACUAAAAGAGAUGUUUUCACUUGCUUAAUUUUUUUUCUAAAGAAUCUAAAAAUACUUAUAAUUUAAAAAGAAGAGGGUGCUUAGGCUGCAUCGUUAUCUCAGUUUGGAUGGAGAUUUUCGGCACAAAGAUCAUUGUCAAAUAACUUCAAUACAGAAUUCUUUUUUCUUUUGCAAAAAUACACCAUUUCAUAAUUUGAAAAGCAUGUUAACGGAAAAUAAGAAAGUUGAAAUUUAGAGUUGAAGGAAAGAACCAAGCCUUAUGUAUUUUAGAAGAGGCUUUUGCUGUCGUAGAAAUUUGGAAGUGGGAACUCGGAAGUACCCCAAGCAGUUUCUGUUGCUUGUCCAACUCGCCCAUUGUUUCGCUUAUGCAUAUGUUUAUCUGUACAAUUUAUUAACAAAACAUAAUUUAUAAGUAAAAUUUUUAUAUACACAUCAUUAUUGAUUAAAAAUAAAUAUUGUGAAAUAACUACGAUGGAAAAAAAACAUAAAAUCAACUCUAAGUUUUAGUUCAUAAGCAUAAGCAAAACUACAGUGCUCUCACCGUGUAGCGGGGACGGAGCUAGGCAGGAGAGAUGGUGUUCAAAAACCAGGUCAAGAAAAAUUUCACCAUAUGUACCAUCCCCUAAAUCUAAACUCAAGCAUUUAUAUCAGUCUAAGCUUAGUCUUAAGUGGAUUAAAUCGAGUGAGUGAGUGACCCCUCUUUUCAUUUCGUUCAAGUUCCAUCCUACCGUGUAAAACGACAGCCUAGACCAACCUGCAGAAUGUCAAAGUGUCGGCGAGUUUCGGUUCUAGACGCCGUAAGCUCUACAGCUCGGGCUGUCCAUCAAAACGUGGGAUUACUGACAACCAGGUGUGUCAUGUACUACUCCCUCCGUAUUUUAAUAUACGGCACCGUUGAUUUUUCGAGCAACGUUUGAUCAUUUAUUUUAUUCAAAAUUUUUGUGCAAAUAUGAAAAUAUUUAUGUCAUGUUUAAAGAACAUUUGAUGACAAAUCAAGUCAUAAUAAAAUAAAUGCUAAUUAUAUAUUUUUUUUAAUAAGACGAAUGGUCAAACGUUGGAAAAAAAGUCAAUGGCGUACAUCAGUACAUGUAAGCACGCAUACACAUACGUCACCGCUGACUCCGACGUGUCACCUUUAUCACUCAUAUAUAAAUCAAUCCUGGGAUGACGCAUUCCCGCCAAAUCAAACCGGCGGCUUAAAUUAAAUUAAAUUCGGCCAAUUAAAGCUUCCACGGAUCACAGCCUCUCGUGCAUGCGUAUGCAGACCAAGAAUACGGCGGCGCCGGCGCCGGAGAAGAAGUACAAGGGCGUGCGGCUGCGGCAAUGGGGGAAGUGGGUGGCGGAGAUCCGGCUGCCCAACAGCCGCGAGAGGGUGUGGCUGGGAUCCUACGACACGCCGGAGAAGGCGGCGCGGGCAUUCGACGCUGCCUUCGUCUUCCUCCGCGGCGCCGGAGCCGCCGACGCCGCGGGGCUCAACUUCCCCGACUCGCCGCUGCCAGUUGUCGCGCGCACUAGAGAUCUGCGCGAGGUGUAUGCCUUCGCGGUCUCGCAUGCCAACAGGCCGCCGCCGGUGGCUGGAGAAACGGCUGCCACGGCUCUGGCUGCGAUGGCGGCGCUGGAGCACAAUGAGGUCAGGGAAAAUAUUGCGCCGUCGUCGCCGCUGUCGGCAGUGCAGGUGGCGGCGCCGCCAGCUGGGAGCUUUGAUUGGUCGCAGCUGAUGGCGAACUCGCCGCCGCUCUACUCGCCAAUAGUGAUAGGAAGCCAUGCGUACGACGACCUGGCGGUGUGGCCCACGACGCAGCCGGUGGAGGAAUUCAGUGAGGAGGAUAACGAAAAUGAAGGUGCUACGAGUGAUGAGCUUUGGAGCUUCGAUGUCUGACGCUCGAUCAGUGUUUGAAAUUUCGAUUCGAAAUUUCGCCCAAAAUUUUUGUGUUUUUACAUUUUUUUUGAAUUUGGUCAAAUUUUAUUCAAAUUCAUUCAAAUUAUAUCAAAUUUUCAAAUAAUUUCGGCUCGAAAUUUCCAAAAUUUCGGUAACCCCGGCAUAAAAUCCAAUUUCGAAAUUUCAAACCCUGCACUCGAUUAGUCGAUCGGAUGUGCAUUGUUGUUGCACGAUUAUGGGAUAGACAGAUUACGUCCUCCGUUUGUAAAUAUAAUACUGUGCCCAAGUAUAUUUUUGCUAUAUAUUUAAAUAUAUUUUUGUUAAACAUAGAGUUAAAAGUUUAUAUUUUGAGAUAAAAGUAGCUUCUAGGAGUAUUAUAUUUUUUAAAAAAAGAUAAUGAGAAGUUGUUACUAAUUUAGUUGAAAAAAAGAGAAUGAUAAUAUAUGAUUAUGCUACAGUACUAGAUAAGCACGUAAUGCAUCAGAGACUGCACUGGCGCUCUCGGUUCGAUGGAACGUUGCAAUUAAGCAAAGGGUCUACCAAUCCCUUGCUCGACAUAUUUUAAUUGAAGAAAAUCUAUUAGUGUAGCUAGGAUGUAUUUACACUGUACACUGUGAUUAGUCUGUAGAUUGUGUUUUGAGAGUAAAAGUUGCGCUAUCUCAGAUGGUGUUAGUAACUCCUUCCCAAACACCACCUCAGUGCUUAUCCUUUUUCCCUUCCCCAACUCCAUGCACAAAUCUUGGAGCGAAUCCAAUGAUCCAAAAAUCGACAUAUCUUUUCUAAAAUACUGUCGUAAGAUUGAGCAAAUACAGCAAAAUUGAUGAUAAUAUGCCCUCCCCCUAACCCCAAUCCCAAAAAAAAAGAUCACAUAUACAUUUGUUGACAAAUUUUCUCCUAAAAAUUUAACAGAUGCAAUUAUAUUACAAUCGUAGUGUAAUAACACUGUAACUUGAAUGUAACUAUAAUAUAACUUGUAUGUAAGUUUCAUGUAAUUUUGAAUCGUUAGAUCUAUUAAAUGAUUUGUUCUAGUGAGGAAGAAAAAAAAUCACACCACACUCAUAUGUGAGAGGAUUUAUUCCCACGUCCUCCAUUUUACCGAAAUAACAUGUUACGGAGAGAUUUUUAAAAGUACAUUAUAGUAACAGUGUAAUUACAUACAAGUUACAGUGUAAUUACACUACGAUUGUACUGUAAUUAUAUGUGUCAAAUUUUUAGGAGAAAAUUUAUCGAUAAAUACAUAGCAAAAUAGAAAAAAAAAUGAUGACAAUACUUGUCACUUUGAUUUACAUGGUAGAGUGUGACAUUAGGCCAGUCCCAACCCAUAAUGUCCAUAAGCAGUGUCUUGUGGUGCCAUGUCAAUAAGACAUCACAAUAGAAACUAAACUCUACAACCCAUGGUUUCUUAAAGUGGGCCAUUAAUAAAUACAUCAUCUCUCUUCUUUACCAAUCAUAUUUAUUCUUCAUCUAUUAUGAAGACACUAUUCUCUCCCAAUGCAAAACUUGAUAGUGUCUAGUGCAUAGGUUCUCGCGUUGAAGCUGUGUCUUGCAUGAGACCCAGUUUCUUCCUUUCUUCACUCUCUCUUAAUUAAUAUAGUGCCACAUAAGUUAAAAGUCCUACAUGGCAAUGUAGUUAAUGCUAUAGACACCAUUCUAAAUGGAGGGUCGGGACUGUCUGUAACGCUCCGCUCGUUACACGCUCCUGUCAGGUGCCGUUUUACGGCGGUAUCAGAUUGGGGUGUGACAAGAGAUGGUAUCAGAGCAUUAGUUGGCCCUAGGAUCGAAACCCCUAAAUAGGAUGGCAUUAUCUGAAUACAAAAACUAUUUGUGAAAGCUAAGGUGUCGUUGUCCCCUUUAGUUCUAGUUUUGCGAAAAACCUUUUGUGUCCAAAGGUAGAAGCUAGUCGUUCGUUUUGACUUUUAUCCUAGAGUAAACAUGUCUUCACGCCCAGUUGAAGAAAGGUGUGCUCAAGCCUCUAGGAGUCUUAGUUAAGCCCUUGUUGGUAGGCUAACCUUAGUACCGUCACCCGCUCGGUAGGAGUUGUGGUGAACUAGUGCGUGUGUGAGUUUUGUUUGGUAGUCCGUGUUCAGGUGUUAGACCAGUUGGGUUACCGGCUGGAACACACCACCUAUGUCUUCUGUGAUUUCGAAAACCAUUUUGAUGUAUUGUUUUUGUUUUCCUCCUUUUCUUCUUAUCUACUUUCUGCGUUGGUCAGAUCUCAGUCCCUCUGAAGCAGAUGGCACCUCAACCAACCUGUCAGACUUGUGUCCGCAACUACCUUGGUUCUAAGGAAGACCCAGCUUUGUCAGAAAAUCCAAAUCAACUAGCUGAACAAGUCACCAACCAAGUUGCCAAGACUGAUAAUACUGUUCCUGGACCAAACAAGGAAGUUGCAACCAGAAAUCAACACUCCUCAAUGGAUAUUUAUCAGAUUCUAGCCAAUCAGACUCAGAUGCUACAAGAAAUAGCUCAAAAUUUGGCUUCUAUACAACAACAACUGCUACUACCACAGCCCAAGGUGAAUCCAGACAAGAGUAAGAAUGAGGCCGCAGAAAUACAAGGAACACAAUCAGUAGAAGGCACUGAUACCCAUAAAGAGAAGAACAAAGAAUUCUUAAAUGUGAUGAUUACAGGGAUGAAAACCCCACUUCAAGCUAAUAAUUGCCCCAACCUUCAGAACUCAAUCAAUAAAUCCGUAUCGCGAGAAAAUAGCAUGAUUAAAGAAGGAAGUUGUCACAAAAGAAAGACCUUGCCAUCAGAAGUUGACAUGCAAGAUGUCCCACAAUGUCAGACAAUGCAAUCUUGCCAAAACCUACCCAAGUCCCCCACCCUCAAAUCAAAGAAGAUCAGACACGUUCCCGGAUUCAUAUGCUUCAUUUGCCACAAAAUUGGCCAUUACAUGAGACACUGCCCCCAAAAACCCUAUAUGGAUGCACCACUACAAGCUAAUAUGAGCACCUCAAGGAUGCCCUUCUAUCCCCAAGGAAGCCCAAAUUCGCCAAAUGUUAAUGCAGUACGUUCAACCUUCCCUGAUGACAAAAGAGCAAAAGCAUCCUGCGACAUGUGCCAAGACAUCCAAGAAAAGAAAGAGAUGCAAGAAUACAAGAGAUGCAAAGUAAUGUCCCUAGAGAUUCAAGCAAAAGAAGAUUUGUGUCGAAAAACAAACUCGCCAGCACAAUACUAUCAGAAAGCAUCUCAGCAUUCAACUAGUUCCGGUUCUACGUCUCGUUCGACUAUGUCAGAACCUGGUCAGCAAGCCACAAUGAUCAACAGUAAUAGCCAUGAAGGAAGCAACUCCGUACCAUGCCCUACACCUUCAAAAAGACGUGGUUAUAAGGCAGGAGUCGAAUGUUUCAUCUGCCAUGAGAUGGGACACUAUUCAUGGUGCUGCCCUUAGAAAGUCAAGUCAAAACGAGUCCAACCAACAACAAGCCUUCCCAACGUAUCUGGACCAAAAAGUUCAAAGUCACCAAACAGUGGUUCUGCCUCGUUGACCUCACCGCCCGUCGGACAAGGUCGUCUGAACCAUGUGCAAGUAGAAACAAACGGAAAAGUUGUGAAUCUCGAGCAAGUUGAAGGAGCAGGAGAAGAACAGGUUCCACAGGCAAGAGCAGAGCCACAGUAAGAUGAAGAAUGCUAAGUGAGUCAGAGUACCAGACCGUUUUGCGGCAAGCACACAACAAUAAGUUGAAGAAAGACUAGCAGAGCCUGAAGCUGUGAAGAAGUCUGAAGAUCCUUUUUGGUUUCGUGUGUGUGGUCCACCUUCGAAUCUCGGGGUCGAGAUUCUUGUAAGGGGGGUGGAUCUGUAACGCUCCGCUUUUCGUGGGUCGUUAAAAACUAAUUCGGCAAAAAUCCUAAUUGCGAAAAUUUUCGUUCUUUGUGUGCGAGUCUAAGUUGUGCCAAGAUCUCAAUUCAAAUCCCGUUGUUCCCUCUCAUCAAAAUCAAAAUCCUCCGCCUCAAAUUUCCUCUUCCGAUUCAAGUCUCCGAAAUCUAAAUCCGAAGGUCAAUCCCUUCCCUUGAAUCCUCGCCAAAUACUUCUACGAAUCCAGAAUUAUUCAAAUCCCGCCUCGAAUCCUUUCCUUGACUCCACCCUAUGUUCCCGAGAACAAAUACCCAAGUAUUCCUUUUAAAUCUUUUCCAUGACUUCUCCUUGAGUUUCCCUUGAUACAUCCCUAAACCCUCGAGUUCGAAUAUCAAAUUUGAAUUCGAAUCCAAACCCUAAAUCUCCCCAAUUCUAUCCAAAUCAGUUUUCUCUGUAAAAGUCUACCUUACCUCCCUGUGAUUUUGGAUGGGCCGAUUCUCCUCUCCCGGCCCAUCUCCCCUCCCAGCCCAUCAUCUCCCCCCCCCCUCGCACGUGCGUUGCACGCAUGUGAGCCGAGAGAGAGAGAGCCGUCGCUCGCUCUCUCUGUCUCUCUCGCUCUCGCUGUUUCUCUCUCUCUCUCUCUCUCUCUCUCUCUCUCUCUCUCUCGAUGUCUCUCUCCCGCGCCGACGCCGCUUCCCGCCGUCGCCGCCCAGAACCCGCCACCGCCUUCGCCUUUUCCCGCGCUCGCGCGUGGCCGACCGGCCGGUCGUUGCCGCCGUCAGCCCUGCCGCGCCUGCGCCGCGCAGCCACCCGGCCCCGCUCCAUGCCAAACCGACCGCCGCCGUCAUCGUCGACGUCAUCCAUGGCCCCCGCCACUCCACGCCGCACCCGUCCAAGAGUGGGAGAAGCAGCUGCUCUCCCUCUCCUCCUCCUCCUCACUCUCCCUCCUCCUUUUCUCGUUUUGGCAAGGGACCAAGCCCCUUUCCCCCUUCUUUUUCCUUUUGCCCAACACCGCCGGCGUCAUCACCUGCCGCCGCCUUGGCUGCACGCGUCGACGACCGCCAGCUCGUCGCCCUUGCAUCCCUUGACUGCCAAUGUCGGUUUCCCUCCUCCAAACCGACCUCUCCUCCUCGCCUAUAAGGCCGAGUCCCUCCUCUCAAUUUCCCCGCUUCAGUCUCCACCGCUGUAGCGCCAUUACCACCGAACCACCAUCGCCGCCUUGUUGCCGCUUGUCCCGCUCUCGUCGUCGUCGUCCGUCGCCGAGCACCGGAGGAGCCGGUGCGAGCGUGAACGCGUGACGAGGAGCUCCGGGCGCCACCUCUCCCUCUCUUCUUCCCCGGCGCACUCGCCUCGACGCCGCGCCGCCUCGGCGUCAUUCGCCGUGCGCCGCCGCUCGGUCGCGUGCCGCCAUCGGCCUUCCACCCCUUUCCAUCCCCAAAUCGCCGCCGAUACCGUUCCCGCACACCGGUGAGCUCCUCGCCCAAAUUCUCGCCAUCUGCGUCAUUUUGGAUAAGCCCCGAGCCAUUCGGUUGCUCGCUCGUCCCCUUAAACGUGCCGCCCCGCCGUUGCUCUGCUUCGCCGCCGCCGCGCCCGCCUGUGAGCCGCCGUGGGCCCUCUCGCCAAUACCUCGCGCCACCACCGUCCUUGAGCUCCCUAGGACCUCCCCAAACCAUUCCCUAGACCCGCCGCCGCCCGGCAUGGCCUCGCCGCCGUUGCCGCCCGCUCCCGGAGGCCGCCGCUCGUCGCCAGCCCUCCUUGGUGCUCUUCCGCCCCAUCCGACGCCGGAAGCGGACUCCUUGAACCCCGGAGAUGCUUUCACCGCCUCGAAUUGAGUCCUCGUCGCCCCUCGGUGAUUUCCCCUUUCUCUCGCCGCCGGCCGCCACUGUCGAAUUCCACCGCCGACGAACUCCCUCCGGCGAAAUCCGAGCCGUUGGCUCGCUCCUUCUCGACGCCCUCGUCACUCCGGUGUGCUCCCCGAAGACCAAAUCCGUCGCGCUUGCUCCGGUGAACACGGCCGCCGUCCGCCGUCCAUCUCGGCCUCCCCUUCUUCCUCCUCCCGCCGGCCCGCGUGGCUGCCACGUAGGCGCCACGUCGGCGCCACCUCGGCUUUGACUGGGCCAAGCCGGUCAGUCGUCCCCUCCCUCCGACUUCCCUCCCGUGCGCGCGGUCCACGGAAAGCCGUGCGACUGCAUGUGGGCCCGCCGCCAUCCGUCCAACCGGUGCACCGCUCCUAAGCCCCGCGCACCCGAAACCCGUGCGCCGCACCUCGCGUGCGCCCAUCCCACCGUGGGCCGUGCCACCGACAAGCGGGCCCCACCCGGGACCCCGCGCGGUGGAAUCGGUCCACCGGGCCGUCCCUCUCUCCCCCGCGCCCCAUUGGGCCGCCCUCCUCGCAGGCCGUGCCGGCCCAUUAGGCUCGCCCGAGCUGCGCAAGUCCCUCGGGCCGCGCCAAUGCCACCCGAGACAAGUCUGAUUGACAUCCCUCCAUCCUUUUCUUUUUCCAGGGAUUUAAUAAAUCCUUUUUCCUUUGUCCCAUAAAUCAAUUCCUUAUUCCAAAACUCCACAAAUCAUUUCCUUUGGUCCCGCAUGACAGGGACUGUUAAUAAUAUUCUUGGGAAUAUUAUUUCUUCAAACCCCAUAAACCAUUUCUCGUAUUCCAGAAAAUUCCGAUAAAUCAUUUCCUUGACCAGAAAAUCCAAAUUAAACUUCCAAAAUUCAUAUCUUCCCAACCGCUCUUCCGUUUGACUCCGUUCAACUUCCAGUAAUUCCGUAAAAUUGAGAUCUAUUUAAUGGCACUACUAAUUAGUCUAAAUAGGAUCUUUCUUUUGGUCUUUUGUUUAGGUUUUCGAUUGUUUGCGUAUAGUUGCGGUUAUCGGAUUUUCGUCGAUCGCGGGUUUUCUCGAAGAUUCGUGAAGCUUCGUGAAGACCUUGAGCAAGGCAAGUCACCCUUUGAUCAAUUGCUCCUAUAAUUGAAAAGUCAUUAUUAUUUCGUUUGCAACUUGCAUUAUUAGAAUCACACACUUAACUUGCUUGGCCUCGGUUUCCAUGCCAAACCGACGGACCUACCCAGUAGUCGCACUAAUUUCCGUAGGUCGUACUACCCUGUUUCCUUGUCGCUCCACCCUUGUGGUACCUUGGUAUUCGUGCUCUCUGAGCGCGUAUACUAAAUAUCCCACAUACACCGUUGUUUGUCGAAAACUUGGGAAAUGGGUUUGUGAAGCCUUCAAAAACCCGACACGUGGUGUCGGUGUGUUUGAAAAUAAAAUGAAUUGUGAAAACUCGCGAUGCGGGGGUUGUGCCUAUGUGGCACUGUCCCGUAUUCGCAUAUAAGGACCGAUUCCUGUGGAAAACUCAUCGAACAUAAUCAAAGUGCAACCACAAGGUGGAAUGGGACACCCUGGCUAAGUAACUAGUCGGUUCAGGGAAACCUCGCAUGCCAAUAGUUGGGAACGCCGGGGCGGGGUCGGACAAACCGGGUUCCUGGUAAGGCAAGGACGAGAAGCUUGCUCACUUACCGAUCAAGGUGGUUGGAGUUUGAUUUGUGCACGCCUAAAAAGGCCUAUGUUUAUGUGAGGAUUUGAUCCUUCUAUGUGGCAUGAGGUAACCCUGGGUCGGCUUGGGAAAGGCUUUGUUGCGAACCUCCGAUACCGACGGGUGUUCGGAAUAAGUUCGUAUCUUGUGGGUAAAGUGUACCCCUCUGCAGAGGUUAACUAACUGUUCGAACAGCCGUGCCCACGGUCAUGGGCGGAUGUGAGGUGGUUCCCGUUGCGUAGAUUUGUUUGCCUGUGCUUUGUGAAAAGUUGUUGUGGUGUGGGAAUCGUAACCAGAAUCAGCCUAUGUGGCAGAUGGACGACCUGAGUGGUCAGAAACGAAUCUGUGUGAUUCGGGAUGUCUGCGGGCAUCAUAGACUAGGCUUCCCGAGUGGAAGCGGAUUGUUGUGCUGCUGGGCAGCUGGGCUCUGGGAGUCCGAGAAAAUGAAAAAGGCUCUGGGAGCCGAUUAAUCAAGUGGAAUGGCUCUGGGAGCCGAGAAGUAAUGAUCUGACCCGGGAGGUCGGUACAUUGCUAAAUGAGCUGUUGAAAAGCAUCUCUUAAAGUCGAAUCGAGACGCAAGUCUCUUUUCGCCCAAACAUAGAAAGAAAUAAAUCACUUAGUGAUUUCAAAAUGAUUUCAAACAAAAGAUUUGCAAAACAACCUUACCUCUCUUCCAAGCUAGCAUUAAACACCUAAGUUCCCGUGACUUGCUGAGUACGAAAGUACUCACCCUUGCUCUAUAAAUAUAUAUAUAGUUCCUCCGCCCUGAAGAGAAGAUAAAGUGAAGUGAAGAUUAGGGUUUCGUCCUGGUUCCCAGCCGUCGCCUGUGGUGUUGGGUGUUAGACCGUUGAUUCCGCUGCUGCUGCUGCUGUUGGUGUUUCCUCGGCCGCGUCGUCGGUUGUAUUCUCGGGCUGUCUGAGCUGCAACCUAAGUUAAGGUAAAUAAGUCUUCUAUUUAUUUUAAGGAUUGCUAUGAUUCAUAUUUGUCACCGUGGGUACCAGCACUAUGUCCUGGGACUGGUACCGAGAUCGCGGUUUCGUAGGAAGCGGUUCGCGCCGUUUUCCCUACGACACGCUCCUGUCAGGUGCCGUUUUACGGCGGUAUCAGAUUGGGGUGUGACACUGUCCUUAGCCCCGUGUUCUACAACUAACAGGCCGAAUUAGCCUUUAGACGAUUUUUACCACUGCCACUGAAACGUGGUGUAUACUCCAUGGGCUGAAAUAAAAGACACGGGCUUUCCAAGACGAGCCGAAGAUGAGCUUGUGGUGUAUGCUCUUCGGCUGAAUUUCGCCCAAAUUCACAAGGAAUAAGUCCACCUUGACCUCCUCAUGUAUAGGCCAAAUUUGAUUAAUUUCCUUGAAUCACAAUAAUGGAUAUUUUGACCCCUAAACUAUUAUAAAACCGAUGUAAUUUGCAUCACAAGACUAUUUUGAAAGAUGAUUUUACUGACAUGACGCUUUGAUUUGGUCCAACCCGCUAAAUCAUCCCAUCGGGCCCAACCGUCAGCAGGGCAACGGUACAGUAUUUGCACGCGGCACAAAACGAAAGGCUGCCCGUGCAGUUGGAUGUACAGGUGCUCUACUUCGAGCAGCUCCGCCUCCGGAGCGCGAUCCAGGCCGGCUACACCCACCCACACCGAUCAUCCCCCCCCCCCCCCCCCCCCCCCCGGCUCCUUCUCCUGCUGUACCUUUCACCAGGAUUCGGCAUGGCCGAUUUUCGCUAGCCUCAUCUCGGCGCUGCGUGUAGGGACGAUCGAGCUGAACGUACAAGGAAUGCGCGGUGGCGUUGGACAGCAGCGUGGUGCUAAGCACCAAGAACCUUGAUCGAGGCCAUCAUGGACUCGAUCCAACACACCUUCGUCACCGUCGACGCUCACCUAGUACCAAUUUUGCUUGAGUUCUUAGAUUUGCUAGUUCCUUGCAUGUUUAACGUUGUGUCAUCUACUUCUUCACAGGCUCGAGCAGAUGAGCAAGGAAGAUGAGUCUGAUGCAACGGCCACAAGGGGUGCAGGCUCGUGAUCAAUGAGAUGUACUUGAUAGUACAGUGACAAGGGGUGUGUAACUUCAAUUUUAAAGUCCCGUGUUCAAUUCUCAAUAUGCUCACAAUCUCUUCCAAAAAAAGGGUUUGGAGAGGCGUCUCUCCCUCUAAAAUCUCAUAUAUUUUUUUUAGUCUGACGUGACGGCCACGGUCAUAUUUGUGGGUAAUGUAAAUUGUGAAUUAUAUUUUGCUAAUGAUGAGGAUUAUAUGGGGUGUUUGAUUAGCAGGUCAUAUAGAGGUGUAGACGAGGACUAGAACAGCACAAAUCUACGAAGGAAGGGGAAAACAGACCAAGAGCAAGCGAGCAGCUGGACGAAAGAACUCGUCGCUGCCUUACUCGUCGGACGCCACGGAUGGAUGGCCUACCAAACAAAACUAGGAGGGGUAAAGGAAGGUAGAGAAGGGUCGGUUGAUCACUGACAGGUGGGUCUCACAGGAUGAUUUAGCGGGUUGGACCAAGUCAAAGCGCUACAUCGGUAAAAUCGUCUUCCAAAAAAGCAGAAAAUAUAUUGUAUAUCAUCAUGACUUCAUUUUUCGCAUACUAGAUCUUUUACAUCGAUUUCAUUGUUAAACAAGUUAUCACAUUUUGAGCUUCCCCAUUGUACAUAAUCGCAGCCCUCAGACCUCAGAUAAUACGUAAGUGAAAGCUUCCUCAACCAUUUGUCAGAAAAACAAAGAUGAAUUCGACAAAUGUUUGAGUCACUAAUCACUAUACAAUAUAAAUCCUGAAGAGGAAUAAAAUGGAAAAAUACAUGUUUGUCGCCUAAAAAAAACACAAUAUUAGAGAAUGACCUAAUAUUAAAUAAAUAUAAUGGGUGAGACUUCAAUCUCAGAUCGGCUAGUCCACCACCUUUUGGAGCAAGCCGGAAGACGCUGGACGUUUCUCUUGUCGCCUAACCAUAUUGGAACAUUGAUUCGAUGGGAGCUGAAGCUUGCAUUAUUAACUUACUGACCUUUUACUAGACCAUGCUAUCUAGCUUCUGUCUGUACUGAGCCAAUUUCUGCAAACAAGAAAAUGCACAUCCCAGAAAAUAACAAAGACCAUCAGAUAGUCAGAAGGUAACCACGAGUGAUUUCAAAACGAAGGUUGUUAUCAUUAAAAAAAUAGCUUUGUAAACAUAUUAUGUAUAGUACCAACUUUAUCAGCUGAAUCUAAUAUAAGUACAGGUUGUUGCGUGGUUCAUGCAGUCUGCUUCUUCAAACUCACAACCAAUGUGGACCAAAAUGACAAUCCCAACUCAUACAAUUAUAUUAGAACCAGUGUUAUAUAUAUGUGAAUAAUUGAGCCAAUGUUAUGAUGAACUUGGUGUACGAUUGAAAUAAUGAAAUCAUCUAAUACGAGUUCAUGAACAUGAGAAAAUUCAGAUUCCAACUAACAGGACAGCUCUACACCCCUCUGUACUUGUCAUUUUCUUUUGACAUCUGACUUGUACUUCAGAUCAAAAAUUUAUUUUCAAAAGAAUCUCUAAGUUGGAAAUCAACAAUUCAUUUUCUCAAGCAUCACUAAGUUGGGAAUCAACAAUGUAUUUUCUCCCCCGCAAAAAAAAAAACAAUGUAUUUUCUCAAGAUUCUCUAAGUUAUAAAUUGGAGAAGACUCUUACCCUGGUAUAGGCACAAACGCUUGCCUCAGAAGGUCCUACUGGGCUUCCCCGUCUAAUGAACUUCCCUUCCUUGAAAAUGUAAAGCAUAGGAAUGCCUGUUGACAACUCAAGGCUGAUUACCUGAAGAGAGGAUUUUUCAGUCAAAACAACAGCAUGCAGAGAAGAAAAAAAAAUAAAAGGAAGAGGAUGAAAUGAAAUUACAAUUGCAGAAGAAUAUAUCACCUCUUGAGAUGUCAAUUUGUCAAGCUGCAUUAUAAUUGAACGGAGUGAAUUCCCAUGUGCAGCAAUCAUCACAUGCUUUCCAGCUGUGAGUUGAGGAACAACCUAUGUGGCAACAAACAACUACUUACAGGUCAGAUGGAAACUACAAGAACAGUUGCAAAUUCUAUGACAAAUUUUUGAAAAAAAAACAUGGAAAAUUUUGAUAUUUUUGUAACAUCGUCAUACAUAAACAUAGAAGAAUAAAGGUUAAUAAUUGUUCAUGUUAGUGUCGACAUAUCCUUACAUGUUCCUUGAAAUAAGCAACAGCUCUCUCUGCACACAUCUCUAGACUUUCACCAUUUGGGGGUGGAAUAUCAUAACUACGACGCCAUUUAUGAACUUGUUCAUUGCCAAACCUGUCUGCAGUUUCCUGCUUAUUAAGGCCUUGCAGCUCACCAUACCUAGAAAGUCCCACGGAAUUACAAUUUUAUCUUUUUUUUAGGUAAAAGAAUUACAAUAUUAUCUAGGUACUAGAAGAACAUAAAUCAAAAAAGGGGGAGAAAUUCCUACAUUCGUUCAUUCAGUUGCCAAGCUGUUAUGACAGGAAUAGACUGUUUCCUUGUCUCUUCACUGUACACCUGACUUCACAGGUGUGCUUGCUCACUCUCAUUGUGAACAAUGAUUGGAACCUGUAAGUACAUAGUUUCAUAAUCCAACAUAACUGUUUAGGACAGUAGAUUUACAGAACAGAACAUGAUGAUUACAGAAACAUUUAGCAGCAGCAAGAUGCACAACCUUCUUCCUCCGAUGCUGCAUCAUCGCAAGCAUUGCAGUCAUCUGAGCACGAAUUAGCGAAGAGGUAAAUAUCACAUCGAUCGGGAUACUGCAAAUCCGUUUUCCUGCCUCGAUAGCCUCCUCGACGCCCUUGGGUGUCAGGGGCACAUCGACGCAGCCAGUGAACAGGUUUUUCUCAUUCCACAAUGAUUCUCCAUGCCUUAUCAAUAUGAGGGAACUUUCACCUGCAAGAAAACAAUGAGACCAACUAUAUAAAACUACAUAUCUAUGUAACGAAACAAAACUAGUGAAUCACUGCAUUUAUGCUAGUUUAUUCAAAAGAAAAGAGUGCAAAUUACUUGAUUUCUUGGGGGUGUGAUCACUGUUGCCAUUGGAGUGUAGCUGAACCGGCUCCACCACCGAAGACCUCGAUGCACAAACAAAACCAAAACCAAAUUGCUGCCUGAUUGGGUCUCCACCGGUGAGAUUGGGUGUGCACAAUGGCGCUGUGAGAUGUUGCCGCAGCCAUUACAAUCUCAGAACACAAUUUACUGACAAGGUUGAGCAAUUCUUCAGUUAAUUUUUAUUGCAAACAAAGGAGAAAUUUUAGAAUUAGUCCACGAGCCAAGAACACCCUGCAAACUAAGAAUCAAUGGAUCCGUGGCUAGCAAGGAAGAAAGGAGCCGGCGAGGCGAAACCAAGUCGGAGAGACCUCGAGCACGGCGAGGUGGUGAUCCCGGGAGCAGCGAGGAAAAUGAGGAGACAAAACAGGUAGCUAGCUAAGUUUCUUUCCUAUCUCCAUUAUAAAUAGCUGCUGCUUAGCUUGCAGCCAGACAGGUACUCGAUGAACACGUGAUGCUUGCUACUACAUGCUAAGGCCAAAACAAGAGUGUAGAGUACUAUUAAUGGACGAACGAAUAUGGCAUGGAGCUAAUUAAACUCGAUCAAAUGGGGUUAAUUAAGCUCUGAUAAUUCUAACACUAGUGACAAAUUAAUGUGCAACACCAACACAUGUGGCCCCAACACGUAGAACGCAUAUGUUGUUGUCAGCUAAAGCGCAAAUGCCGUCACGCCAAAUAACCUCACAUAGCCCAUACUGACCCAGCAAGUUUGACCACGGUUCACUUAUCACGUCAUCUGAAACCAAUUUCCAAGCCACGUAAGAAGUUGAUUUACACCCGUAUUUAAAGUUGAUAAGAAGGCGUUAUACCCGGUUUUACGGUUUAGCGAUACGACCAACGGAGGAGCAGCAGCAGCCUCCGCCCGCCGCGUCGUUGAGCUCUCGUGCGGCGUCGCGUCGCGUCGGUUACUCGGUUGGUUUGGCGACUUGGCACGCGCGCCAUGCAGAAAGCAAAGCCGAUCGAGUGCAUGGACGCACGUCGCAGUGACCGUGAAUUCGAUCCGGCGCGGCGCCGCCAUGGACGCGGUCCGUCCACUCCAGCCAGCCGAUCGCGAGUGGCCCCCCAACCCGACAAAACCUCCUCGCCUUUCACUCGCUACAUCGAUUUGCCAGCCACGCUACAUAAACCGUACAAAACCAUAUCCUCCCCCAUCGCCUCGCCUCGCCGAUCGAUCGACGGACGACGGCCGGAACAUAGCUGUAGAUCGAGCUGAAUCGCCGGCGGCGGCCAUGGGACGGGUGAAGCUGCAGAUCAAGAGGAUCGAGAACAUCCCGAACAGGCAGGUGACGUUCUCCAAGCGGCGAAACGGGCUGAUCAAGAAGGCCUACGAGCUGUCCGUCCUCUGCGACAUCGACAUCGCCCUCCUCAUGUUCUCCCCCUCCGGCCGCCUCAGCCACUUCUCCGGCCGCCGCAGGUAAAUUAAUUAAGUUUAAAUCAAAUCAAAUCAAAUUAAUUAACCACAUGCAUGCAUUCGACUUCGAGCAUGCAAAUUUGAUCAUAUAUAGUCAUGUAAUUUUUUGCGACUUUGUAGGAUCGAGGACGUGCUCACAAGGUACAUCAAUCUCCCAGAAAGUGACAGAGGAGGGUACGUAAACUUCUUCGACGGAAAAGGUUCUUCUUUUUAUUUUUUUUCAUUUGAUGCAUUAUUACCGUUUUACUCGUGAGGAAGUUGUUAAUAUUGAUCAAGAAACCGUUUGCCAAUUAUUCCUAUCGCAUGCAGAACUAUCCAAAACAGAGAGGUGAGGGUUCUCUUGCCUUAACUUUUCUUUUUUUUUUCUACAUCGUUUUUGCUAUAUAAUUUCUCUCAUCAUCAACGUGUUCAUCGAUGCAGUAUUUGAUCAACAUGCUCACCCAGCUCAAAUGCGAGAGCGACGUCACCGAGGAUCUCACUAACACGUACGUAGAGCUAGCUCGAUCGCGAUUCAUUCUUAAUCAAACGAUCUGCAUUAUGCUUCAGUUUCACAACGAGAUUUUAACCUGAACCUAGCACUCUUCCUCGUGUUUGUUCUUAAUCUCGGUGCUCUUGCUGAUCCAGGAGCAGUAAGGCGCCGGUUAACUCCAACAUUGAGGUAAUUAACAUUUCUCGCACAUGAACACCACUGUCAAUUGAGCUCUGAAAAAAUCUCUGAACCCAACGCUCUGAAACUGAACCGAUCACUGACUCUCACUCAGGAGCUUCAGCAAGAGAUCAGGAGAUGCCAGCACCAGAUGCAGCUCACAGAGGAGCAAUUGAGGUGCAGUAAUAUCAAUACAAUAUAUGAAUAUCGUCUCAUUCUCUCGAUUAAUUAACUUGCGAUCCAUGCUAGUUGCAAUGGUUUUUUCUGGCGUUGGGUUUCAGGAUGUUUGAGCCGGACCCGGCCAGGUCUGCAUCCAUGGAGGACGUCGAGGCCAGCGAGAAGUUCAUCGCCGGCAUCCUCAGCCGCGUCGAGGAGAGGAAGGUGAGCACAAGUGUUAAUUUGAUCACUCGAUUAAUGGCGCUGUAAUUAGUGGCCGAGAGUGAUAUCCGAGGAAUGAUCACAUCAGAUAAUAGGAUUAAUGACAUGAUCUUCAAAUAAUGACGAUUUUUACAGUGAUCGUCUAGCUUAAUUUUCAGGUAAUAGAAAUGAUCCAGAUUUUUUUUCGUCUGCUAACUAACUGCGUUUCUGUUGUCACACAUGUUUUGCAGAGGUAUUUGCUGUGCAGCAUGGGCUCGUUCGACGUGACGGCGUCAACAUCUGCCAUGCAGCAUGUACGCAAAUCUAUCUUUCUAUAGUUGGCUCGUGUAAGCUAUCUUAUUGGCCACGUGGCGAUGUUAAAUUUCAAGAUAAAUCUAAAAAAAUAUGCAUAAGAAAAAAUAGCCAAAAAGAAAGAAAAAGACACAAAUCUAAUUUCUGGAGACUUCCCAAUUAUCUAUCCUCUUUGAGAUAAAUGUAGAGAAUAUAUAUCCAUAACAAAAAUAAAUUACCAAGGAGCAACCAAAAACACAUCAUCCAGAUUCCAGAGGUUUCCCAAAAUGUUUUUCCCAUUGCAAUAUAUCUAUGUAUCUCAUGCUGGUUGGUUUCAUGCUAGCUAAUUCGUUGCCCUCAUAAUCCUUUAGUUAAGCAACACGUGGCGAGAUACAAGCGGUAGAAAGAGCGCGGGUAAGAAACCCCUCAUAAUCCUUUAGUUGAGCAACACGUGGCGAGAUACAAGCGGUAGAAAGAGCGCGGGUAAGAAACCCUCUCUAUAAAACUAGCAAAGCACGUUACGACGGUGAAUUAAAAAAAAGAGAGAAGAAGUUCCACUGCAUGUGCGUAGCUACGCCAUGCUGCACCAUAAUCCAACCGUGCAUGAUCAAACUAGUGCAAACACAUAAAAGAGGGGAAAAGGAAAAAAAAUAAAAAGACGAAAAAAUAUUUUUUUUGUAAAAUUCUUUGCAAAUUAUUCGGGACAAGUAUCGUGACCACUUGUAUUACGAGAAACUAAAAAGGAUAAAUAGAAAAAAAUAAAUGACAGAAACAAUUUUGCUCUUUUUAAGAUUGAGUCGAAGACUAUAACCCUGAUAAUCAUUUUCUAAAUAUAUAUAUUUUCUGCUUAUACUAUAAAAUAAAUAAUAUGUAUAUCUUUUAACUUUUAGAAAACGUUACAAUUAUGAUAAAAAAAAUACCGGUCUUGGAUCCAUAUCUAGAUUCUUAAAGGCCAUACACAUAGGCUAAUAGAGGAAACGCCAAUCGACAAGUUGAUUUUUUAAUAUAUUAACCUAACUAGCUCCAUCACUAUCUCUCGUUUUGUAUUACGUCAUAAACAAUGUGUAAAAUAUUCAUAGACAAAUUAAUUAUGCUGAUCACACCUUAUUAUAAAUUAUCACAUGUGCGUGUGCAGCUGUAUCUACCGCAGCAGCAUCAGCACGGGGACAUCACUGAUAAUGGGUUUGGAAGCGAUGAGGUGGCCUCGUGGGUCUCUGAGGGGAUGCCGCCGACAACCUCGUCGGUGGCGUCGAUAUUCGCCGGAACUUCAGAUUCCAUGAUGUCUUUUAGGUAAGAAAGAUAGUAGAUAACAAGCUUUUAAAAACUAGAAUAGAAUGUACCUGUACUCUAUUUAUGUGAGCUUAAAUUUUUUUUUCUUCAUGGUCAGAGAUCAAGCGGUGUACGACACGAUGAGACAAGAUGCAUGUGUGGAUCAGACAGUGGUCCCGGAGAUGGGGAUGUGCCAUGUGGACCAGCAGAACCAGAGUGACGACUGGCAGGCGUACACGUCGGCGGAGUUCCUCAACGCGCUAAUCCCGCCCACGCCGUUCCCUCUCGACGACGAGGUGAUGUCAUAAAUAGAAUAGCUGACGUCAGCAUGAUAACGUAGAUAUUGGAUCUGGUACCUCCGGUAACAUACAUGAUACCAUGUAGUUAACAGAUUUGAUAACUAUAUAUCAUGUUGAUGUCAGUAUAGUACCGUAGAUAUUAUCUAGUACUUUCGGGUACCAGGCAUGAUAUCUCGUAGGUACCAAAUAUGAUAGUUAUGUAUCUUGCUGACGUCAAUACGAUAUACAUCGAACCUAGUACAUAUCGUAUUAAACAUUAUAUUCAGUAGGUUCCAGAUCUGGUAUUUAGGUAUUAUGUUGACAUCAUCUAUUUCAUUGGAACGGUAUACCAUUCUACAUUCUAUAUUGUUUCUGUUAAUAUGCACCAAUAAUCCACUCCAACAUAUUUUUGAUGCGAUGACUGACGACGCUGAACUUUUUUUUAAUGAAUUAUCAUGAGAUUGUUUCUUUUCUUUAUUUUACACACACAACUCUAAACUGUUGUGUGUGGAGUGCAGGAUACGAUGGGCCCGAUGUUGGCGUCAUCACCGCUAUUGAUGCCCGGCAUCCAUGACCAGCAGCCGCCGGUGGAGGAUAUGGCGACGGCGGGCUGCUCGCAAGCGCCGGCUAACGAUGGCAACGGGUUAUACGCAGCUGAGGACAUUGCUCCGGUUAACGUUGGUUAAUUAGAUGCUUUUGUACUAGAAAUUUAUGGAAUAUAUAGUGUUGUCAUGUUACUAGUGUGCCAGGAAUUGAAGCUAAGGAUUUUUAGUUUGGAAUUUUUUUUCUUUGAUCAUGAUGGGCUGGGUGUGCCACAAUUAAUGUUAUAUGAUCCAUAUAAUACACCAUGCACAAUGUAAGAUAAUGUUACGUACUAGCAUGUAAUAAGAUAUUAUCCAGUAAGAUCGAGUUAUUUAUCAUCUAGCUGCUGUACUCAUUUGUGUAUGUAAAUCUAAAGGAAAAGUACGAAUUAUCCCCCCUAACUAUAACAAUCGAUCGAAUUACUCCAUGGAACCACAAAAUCGGGCAUUUUACACCUUCAAGUAUUCAUACCGGACAAAUUACCCCCCUGAGCAUUAUUUUGAGUGGUUUCGACUUAAGCUUGUACACGUGGCGCCAAUGUGCCAAUCCAGUCAGCAGAUAAAAAUAAAAAAGUAUUCAGGCCCACCUGUCAUCUCUUAGCCUCAACCAAAUCUCUUCCCAUCCCCAGCGCCCUCUCUCUCUCUCUCUCUCUCGGGCGACUGGCGGCGGAGGUGUACCAUGUUCCGGCGGCCUACAACGCAAGUGGACCUCACUCCAGCGGCCGACGGCGGAGGUGGACCUCGCUCUAGGCGGGGAUGGGCGGCGGACGGCGGGGCGUGCGAGGACGGGCGGUGGACGAUGGCACACGGAAGCGGGCGCGGCUGGGUGGGCGAGGGGAGCGCGACGAGGACGGGCGAGGCAAGUGCGGCGGUGGGGAACAUCAAGGUUAUUAUUCUCUCCUCGGACUCUUCCACACUGUACCGGUCGAAGACGAUGAACUAUGGUUCCUCCCUAAUCUCUCUCUCUCUCUCUCUCUCUCUCAAGCGCUCAGGCGGCUAGCUGUGGCGGUGGAGGUGGAGACGCCCGGGCGGCUGGUGGUGGCGGCAGAGGUGGACCGAGCGGCGGGUGACGGUGGAGGAGGCUGACAGGGCUGCAAGUUGUAGAGGUGCAGCUCGCCUAUCACUGUCGCGCCCUCCACCUACCCAACCUCUGAUGGCUGCGGGCACCUCCUCCGCCGCCCGAGCUCCACCUCCACCCAUCGCCGGCCAAAGCGACCCAGGCGUGCGCGCUGCCACUCGCCACCUAGCUCCGCCGUUUCGCGCUACCGCCCACCGUCCACCCACGCGGGCCGCCGAGAAAGAGAGAGAGAUAGAGAGAAAAGAGAGAGGGGGGAAGAGGGGAAGAGGCGAGCGGUGGUGGGCUAGGAGGGCGAGGCGAGCGCGGCGGGGGCCGUGACUAGGUGCGCAAGGUGAGCGCGGUGGGCACACGGGAGGGUGCUAUGGCGGGCACAGCUGACACGAGAACGGCCUCCUCCUCCGUGGCUGUCUCCUCUCGCGUCUGCCUCUCCUCCUCCUCCGCGUCCUGUUCCCGACGCCGCUCGAGCGUGGCCAGGUCGGUGUCGGCAUCAGCAUCUGCAGCCCACGCGGAGGCGAUGGCGUGGUGGGGAAGUCGGAGCAGGCGGCAGGGGAGAAGCCACCUUCGCUGGUGAAGCCCAAGCGGUCGUCCGCGCCGCCACCUCCACCCCCACUUACUCCCUUCGGCCUUCUCCGCCUCAGCCUUGGCCGUGGCUAUGGCAGCCAACGUCCCGUCCCCUGCGCGCCGACCGCCCACACUGCUCGACCUGCGGCCGCGCCUAAUGAUGCCAGAGAGAGAGAGGAAGAGGAGAAGAGGAAAAGGAAGAGGUGAGAGGGUAUGACGGGUGGGUCCUACCAUGUUUAAGAAAAAAGAAAAUGUUGAUUGGGUUGCCACGCGUACACCACGUAGGACAAAACCGCUUUGGAUUGUGUUGAGGGGUAAUUCGACUGGUAUUAAAAAUUCAGGGUGAGUGAUAUCUGGUUUUCAGGUUUAGAGGGGUAAUUCGGCCGACCACGAUAGUUCAGGGGGUAAUUCGUAUUUUUUUCCUAAAUCUAAAUUUCUAUUCUAUAGUACACUCGUUAUAGGAGAUGCUCGAGAGAGAUGGGUGUGGCUGCAUAGCCGCAGCAACAGCUGGUGCAAAAAAGCAUAGGCGAUCAAGCCCACAAUUGAUAGAUAUAUAAGGAUGACUAGCUGCUUUCGUUUAGAGAUGUUGGAGGGGGACUUUUAGCAUACGUGAAAAUGAGAAAGCUUAUUAACACAUGAUCAAUUAAAUAUUACUUCCUCUGUUUCAUAUUAUAAAACUUUUUAGCAUGUCUCAUAUUCAUAUAUAUGUUAAUGAAUAUAUAUAUAUAUAUAUAUAUAUAUAUAUAUAUAUAUGUCUAGAUUUGCCUAGAUUCAUUAGCAUCUAUAUGAAUGUGGGCAACGCUAAAAAGUAAAGUAAUUUAAAAAAUUAAAUAAAUCAAAAUUUCAAGUUUACAAUAGUUACUACAUCCGUUUCAUAUUAUAUAGUUACUAUAUAUAUAUAUAUGCCUAGAUUUGCCUAGAUUCAUUAACAUCUAUAUGAAUGUGGGCAACGCUAAAAAGUCUUAUAAUAUGAAACGGAUGUAGUAACUAUUAUAAACUUGAAAUUUUGAUUUAUUUAAUUUUUUAAAUUACUUUUAUAUAAAUUACUUAAAAACAUCGUUUUACCAUUUAAAAAACGUGCUAACAAACAACGAGAAAGUUGAAGUUUAAAGUUGAAAACAGAACAGGGCACUUCAGGCUUGAGACUAAAAGCCCAUGAGGAUAUACUACGAAAUUUGACCUAAAAGUGAAAUGCAGCCCAAUAGAGCCAUAUAGGCACAAGCUAGCCCAAUCCUAGGUUUGCUUCUAAGCGUUAAAACUCUCCUCAUUUUAAUUUGAAGGUUCAAAGAAACUGAUAGGUAGUAGUUGACCAUAGAAACCGUAAGAGAGUACUCCCUCCGUACCAUAAUACAAAGAUUUUAACUUUUUGCUUACACUGUUUAACCAUUCGUCUUAUUCAAAAAAAUUUAAAAUUAUUAUUUUCUUUAUUUGUGACUUACUUUAUUAUCGAAACUACUUUAAGCACAAAUUUUUGUUUUUUAUAUUUGCACAAUUUUUUUUAAUAAGACGAGUGGUAAAACAGUACAAUCAAAAAGUCAAAAUCUUAUAUAUCAUGGGACUAAGGGAGUACUACUUCAACGCAAUCAAUCUUGCAGAGCUAAUAAGUCAACUCUUUAUCUUUAUCUCUGUUAUUUAGAAAACCGAAGCUUCAAAAUUACACUGCUACUAGCUAGUACUCCCUCCGUCCCAUGAUAUAAGGGAUUUUGAGUUUUUACUUGUAUCGUUUGACCACUCGUCUUAUUUAAAAAAUUUUAAAAUUAUUAUUUAUUUUAUUUGUGACUUACUUUAUUAUCUACAGUAUCUUAAGCACAACUUUUCGUUUUUUAUAUUUGCAAAAAAAAUUUAAAUAAGACAAGUGGUCAAACGUUACGAGUAAAAACCUAAAAUCUCUUAUAUUGUGGGACGGAGGGAGUAGUAGACUGCUGCCACCACGCACAUGCACGCACGUACUUUUGGUUUCCUCCCAUGAGACACAUAUAACUACGCAAACAAGUUGACCAAACUGGCAUGUUGCUUAUUGUAUUUUGUUCUCAUCAACUAACCCAAGCCAGAGGCAAAUUGUUGCAAACUGAUCACAGGAUAUCGUAUGAUAACAUCAACAGGCUGGGUUAACAAAUUCAUAGUCCAUUUCACGCUCGCCAAAUAUUCUCCAAGUUGGCGUAAUUUGUUUACUUCAUCAGUAGCUAAAUUUUGACCAGCCACCAUAAACAAAUAUAAUUACCAGCUGUAGUAGGCAUAUCGAUGCACAAGUACAUGAAAGGACUUUUUCCCCUCUUCCUCUUCGAGAUGUGCAUUUGCAAAGCUGGCCCCCUCGUGCCAUCUCGGAUCUUGAAAACGCUACAAAUUUUGGGUAUAAUCUUGUUGAUGAGGUUGUCAGGAUCGAGGACACUGGUGGAGAAGUGCUUUUUAGUCCCGGUUCGUAACCCCCCUAUAGUCCCGGUUUUCAAACCGGGACUACCAAUCCGGGACUAAAGAUCGCUAUCUUUAGUCCCGGGUGAAAAAACCGGGACUAAAGAUCGAUCUUUAGUCCCGGUUGAUGACACCAACCGGGACUAAAGAUUUAGUCCCGGUUGGUGUCAUCAACCGGGACUAAAGAGAGGGUAGCGGCAGUCCAUCAGCUAGUCCUUUUUUCUUUUUUAUUUUCUCCCGAAUCGAGUGGUAUGCAUAUCAUCAAAUCAAACCCCAAAUCCACAUCACAACUCCACAGCACGAUUCACAGAUUCACCACAAAUUCAUUCACAAUAUCCAUUCACAUAUUCAUUCACAACAUCACAAAUAUAUUCACAAUAUUGAUUCAAAGGUUCAUUGACAACAUCGAGUCACAUACUCAUUCACAACAUCACAGAUUCAUUCACAAUAUCGAUUCAUAGAUUCAUUCACAGAUCAAAACAUCCAAACCACAAAUUAAAAAAAAUCAAAAAAAAAAAUCGACUCACUGGCCGGCCUCCCAUCCCGCCGUCGGCCGGCCACCCAUCUCGCCGCUUCCCCUCCGGCCGGAUCUGGGGGAGGGGAGGGCGAGGCCGCCGGCGACCGGCCUCCAUCCCGCCGGCCCGCGCCGGGCCGCCGCCGGCCGUCCUCCAUCCCGCCGCUUCCCCUCUGGCCGGAUCUGGAGGAGGGGAGGGCGAGGCUGCCGGCGACCGGCCUCCAUCCCGCCGGCCCACGCCGGGCCGCCGCCGCCCGUCCUCCAUCCCGCUGGCCCGCGCCCGGCCGCAAUCCCGCCGCCGCCAGCCGGCCGCCGCCAGCCCCAGCCCGCACCUGGCUGCCGCCAGCCCGCGCCCGGCCGCCUCCAUCCCGCCACCGCCGGCCGGCCGCUGCCAGCCCGCGCCCAUCCCCCAUCCCGCCGCCGUCGGCUGCCUCUGCAAGAGGAAGAGGGGGAGGGGAGGAGGAGAGGGGGUGAGAGAAGAGGAAGGGGAGAGGAUGAAGAUAAGGAAGGAGAAGAAAAAGAGAUAAGGAUGGGCUAUGCAUGCGCUUGUGCGUGGGCUGGUGCGUACGCUUUAUUCCCGGUUGAUAUUAUCAACCGGGAGUAAAGAUCAUCUUUAGUCCUGGUUGGUGUUACCAACCGGGACUAAAGAUCCCUGGAUCUUUAGUCCCGAUUGGUAACACCAACCGGGACAUCUUUAGUCCCGGUUGGUGUUACCAACUGGGACUAAAGAUCCCAGGGAUCUUUACUCCCGGUUGAUAAUAUCAACCGGGACUAAAGAUCCUAUCUUUAGUCCCGGUUGGUGUUAUCAACCGGGACUAAAGAUAUCGGGGGGCCUGACAAGGCCUGACAGAUUUAGAACCGGGACUAAAGAUCAUUUUUAGUCCCGGUUGGUAACACCAACCGAGACUAAAGAUCAAAUAUGCCCGCUGUAGCCACCAAUCGGGACUAAAGAUCAUCUUUAGUCCCGGUUUUUAGUGGAACCGAGACUAUUGUGGAUUUCGGGCGACCGACCAAAGAUGGUUUCUCCACCAGUGGGAGCUAGGGAUCUGGACUUGUAUCAUUGUAUGGUUGAGAAAAAAAAUAACGGUUCUUAUGGAGGUAUUGAGAAUUACUCUUUCUAUAUAUCAAAAUACAGUAAUUUUAAAGUUUAAAUUUUGUUUUAAAUAUAACAACAUAGUACUUACAAAGAGGAUGUCAUUUACUCAUAAAUUAUCCAUACUACCCUUGUCUUCAUUACCAUCCUAAUUAGGCUCGGACCCACACAAACCCACCUUAAGAACGUUUUUUAUCCUUCUCUUAAUACACGUGCCAUAUUUUAGGGCAUAUGAAGUAUGAAUUUGAUCCUCAAAAGUCUAGCGCCGAAUCUCUAUAGACACUCCAAAAGGACAAACCGUAUAGUGCAGGACGCUCUGCAACAUGGAAGGUGGAUAAAUGACAUCCGUCACAACCUCACUAUCACUCUUAUUUCAAAGUCCAUAAAGAUCUGGGAGGUCUUAGCACUUGAAUGCCCACAACUGACAGAAGGAGUGGAGGAUUCGAUCACUUGGAGGUAAACAGCAAAUGAGGAAUACAACGUAAAAUAUGUCUAUCUUUUCCAAUUUGAGGGAAUAACAACCUCGUCGUUGGCAACGCUGUCUUGGGAGGCAUGGGCCCCGGCGAAAUGCAAGAUCUUCAGUUGGCUUGCGAUUCAAAAUCGGGUGUAGACAACAUAUAGGUUGCAAAUCAGGGGGUGUCCAAACAACUAUUUCUACUAGUUAUGCUUUCGGAACCUUGAAAAUAUCAACCACCUGCUAUUUGAAUGCCCAGUCUCGAAGCAAAUCUGGUUUGGCGUGCUCCAUUAGCUACGAGAAGGGCACAUCAUCCCGAGGUGGAGCACCAGCAUGGAUGUGCUGGAUUGGUGGACACAAGGAACAAGCGAUCCAGAAGCAACAAAAUACAAAGAGCUCAAAUCAGUCUUCUUACCAAUUGCUUGGGAAAUCUGGAGAGAGAGAAAUGUGAGAAUCUUCAGAGGAAAAGAGGCGACAACCCAUUAAAUAAUCAAUCAAAUUCAGGACGAGUUGGGUUGUUUGAGCUUGGGCGGCGCAAAUCACGUUGCGAGAUUGAUGCCAUAAGGUCCAAGGUGGACUGACGUGCAAGCAUGUUUGCAGUCAGGAAUAUACAGUUUUUCAUUUCCCUUCAGUUUUUGCUGUGUACUUAAUAUCCUUCUAUUAAUAAAACGCCAAGCAACCUGUUUGGCCGUACGAAAAUUUUUUUUAUCUGACAUCUCUUUGUACAUCACUUCUAAUUAAUGAGAUACCACGAAGUAUCGUGAAUUACCACUAAAGUUUUACCGAUACUUAUUGGUAUAUAUUUCCUAAAAAAUCGUAGAAUCAUUCUAACCUGAUUACAAUCCCCCCUCCCAAAAAAAGAAAAAAAAAAGCUUUCAGGCCCUCCUACCUAAAAAAGGAAUUGCAGUACCGUUUCAUAUAUACUAGUAUUAGUUGUUGUUAAAGAAGACUACAAUGAUUACCCAAUGAUUAACAGCAUCUUUUGUCACAUCAAGAUUAAUUGUGAAAAUCAUGAAACAAUCACGGAAUCGUGACAAUCUAUUGAAUUAUGAAAAUGGCCCUCAAACCAAAUGUUAUUGGUAGUACACACGUAUCAAUGUCAGUUGGUUGUGAUAUCACAAUAUAAUAGAAGCACAACAAUAUAAUUAAACCCCAUCAAUGGAAAACACCACAUCCAAACAUCACAAUUUAACCGGCUAUACCAAAUACCUUCUCUCCAAUGUUUAAGGAAAAAACGGAGUUGCUAUAAUUAUGACGUCACAUUUUUUUUCUUAAUUUCAAUCAAUUUUUUCCUUAUGUAAUUGCUCUCUCUCUCUCUCCUAUAUAUGUAAGUGUGUUUUUUUUAUCUCUUCUAUCUCAGUGUUAAGUAUAUAAUAAAUUACGGUUAAUCAUAAUUCUCUUAAACAUCAUGUAUUAGAAAAAUAACAAUAUAGUGUAAGUUUUAAAAUUUAUAGUGUAAUUACAAUGUAAAGUAUACAUAUUUUACAAUAUUGUAAAAAAUAAUCUGACUAUUCUUUUUUAAAAGAAUAUGGUGCUAUAAAUAUAGCUACUCCCAAAAUAGCUACAAGUAGAGUCUUCCAUUAGGAUUAUAGAUACCACACCACAAGUAGGGUCUUCCAUUAGGACUGCAUGCCUUGAUGAACGGCAUACCACACUACUCCAGUCUCCAGAUACUGUACCUCUUGAAGACUUGAACAGUUAGGUGGCAAAUGAUCUUACUCUUUAAUGAAUCAAAGGAAGUAACCAUCCAAGUCUGCAACCAUGGGAUUUUUCUCAAAAAAUACAUUGGCAAAAAUUUUGCAAUGAGCAUGGCAUGUUUGAGAAACACAUCUCGCUCUUGCAUGGUAUGACAUGGCCUUGGUGCCUGCCUUUAGCUAGGGUUAUUUUGCACUUUUGCUUUACUAGCCGUAUGUAUUGGUGCAGCGAAAAGAUCAUUUAGAAAACAAAUUGCUAGUAGAUUUUACCAUUCUUAGAAUAUUUUAGAAAAGAAAAAACAAUCAAAUUUUUUUAGAGAAAAAACAAUCAAAUUUGCAAGGAGAUGGAUCGGUGGUUACAUACCAAAUCGUACUUUAAAAAACCAGAAGAUCGCUGCUUGGCUCAAAUAUAGGGGGCGUCUGAAACAAAUGUAUCACAGAAUUGAAACAGACACACUAACCAAUUUUUCAUCACAGAUGUAUCAAAACCAUACUUGAUUUUGUAGUAAUAGUGUCUUGCAACACUUGUGCCAAAAGGUUCGGAAUUAAAAAUAAAGUUUGAGAGGGCCUAUUUUUAAAAUAUUAAAAUAAAAUGGUUCAAAUAAUAAAAAAUUCGGCAAGGUGUGGUUGCUACAAAAUGUGUGGCUAGCAAAAUGCUAACUAGCCAAAGUUAGACAAAAAUAUAUGUCUAUGAUAUGUGAGACCAUACAGAGAAGAGGUGUGGCUAGUCACAAUUGCGUCAUCAAUCAAAUAAGUAACUAAAAAACUAUAGCGCCGCUAAUUUUAGACGUGGCAAGUUGUGACAUAUAACCAAAAACUUUUUUUAGAGGAUACAACUCAGAAUGCACAAGAACACACACCACAACACAUGUAAACACACGCGUGCGCGCCAACACACUCUAGAACCAAACAGACCCAUGGUCGAUCAGGUCCUCACAUAGAAGUGUAUCACAUCAAUUAAAAAUUGGGUACACUUGUGAAGGAAUACCCAUAUAAGUGCUUCACAUCAUUUGUGGCAUCACCAAAAGGCACAGGUACAUUCUUUUUUUUUUCCCGCAAGUUGCAAUGACACUAUGCAAUACUGAUAUGCAGCCACUUGAAGGGAUUUCAAGUGCUAGAAUGGAACCUCGAGCAGGCAACAACUAUAACUCGGAAUCUGAAACUGUGUCUAUUCACCAGCAUCGAUCUUUCCCCAUCAACCCUCCAUUUCUUAUUGCCAUAUGUUGGGCCUCCUUCUAAGUGAUGUCACAUAUUAAAAAAUAUGGAUAUGUAAACUAGAAGCAACUUAACUUUAAAUAAUCGUAUUUGUAAUUGUUAAUUUGCACUGCUACAAGCACGCGAUACGGAAGGAGCUUGCCUGUUCCCCACCCACCAACCACUGCAAACCCGACUCUAACCAAUCGUAACCUACGAGUCAUCUCCAUCUACCCAGUACCCACACACUCUCAUUUGUCUUCUUCUGCCUAUGUACUCCCUCCAUUUCACAAUGUAAUUUAUUCUAUCAUUUCCCACAUUUAUAUUAAUGUUAAUGAAUCUGGAUAUACAUAUUCAUCUAGAUUCAUUAACAUCCAUACGAAUAUGGAAAAUGGUAGAAUGACUUACAUUGUGAAACGGAGGAAGUAGUGAGCAUACAUGUGAUCCUUUGGCACGUGUUGAGAUUCUAUUCGUCAGGUUGCCUAUUACAUCAGAACUCGUAUAAUGACAUGUAAUCUCUCAGUCCAAAAAAGAAUCCAAUCUCCAAAUCCAAGAUUGAUUUUUUUUUAAUAAAAGAAGACACAAGUAGACGGGUGAAAAAGGAUGGGACGGCGGCGGCCUCCCCCAACCACGGCAAGGGGCCCGGCCACAGCGGGAUCGAUCUACCCGGCCACCAAGGGGACAGGCUCCUCUGGAGGCUCGAAAGCCAUGGAGCACCAAACACUCUACGAGCUAUAUGCAGACUAAAGCUGAUGGUGAUUAAGUUAAUUUAAUCCAACAGUUUGUACCAUCAGCACUUGUCACAGUUGCACUGCUGCUAAUUACUAACUUGUAAUCUGAGCUAGCAUAAUUAGCUAUAGAGCUGACGAGUCGUGAGAUCUAGUGGUGGCUAGCUCGAGCUGUUCAUGCACGAGGCUACAGUUGGAAGAGGAGACAGAGUAAGAUGCGAUGGUGCCCUCUGGUCUGUGGUGUAAUCAGGAGGCCGGUUUAAGCAAAUGCAGGGCACGUUUCGAGCCCUGAUUUGCCGGGCUUAAGCCAGGUAAGCAGGUAGCCAUGCUGUGAGAUGGAAUAUAUUCGGGUAAAGAGGCUGAAUCACACCCAUUUUUUUUAUUACAACACAGAUAUAUACGCACACAUAAUGCUACACACGCAACACAACCAACACUGCAUUUAAACACCAACAAAUACAUCCCAUAAUACACGCUCGUUUACCUCACUUAUUUUAGAGAGAUGAAAACCAACGGUAAAUCUUAACCUCACUAUUUUUUCUAGGAAAAAGUACGAAUUACCCUCCUGAAGUAUUGAGUGAGUAUGAAUUACCCCCUAAAACCUGAAAACCAGUUAUUUUUCACCCUCAACUAUCGAUACCGGAUGAAACCCCCCCCCCCGAGCAGUUUUGUAAGUGGUUUUGGUCUACGUGGCAGUACAGUCAGCAAGUUUUUUAUUAAAUAAAGGAUAUGGCCCACCUGUCAUGACAUAAUAUUCUCUCUCUCUUUCCCUCUCACCCUCUCUCUCUCCCGUUAGAUGCCAGCGGCUGCGGCUCGCGCACUGGCGGCAGAGCGGCGGGGCGAAGAAGUGGUGGCAGAGCAGGCGGAGCGGCGGCGGCCGAAGCAUGCCGACAAUAGCGGGGCGGGCAGAGAGGAAGGAGGUGAGGAGGCCAGGGAGCGGGCUGAGGAGGGAGGAGACCGUCGAGGGAGCGAGGAGGCAGAAGAGUCGUCGUAGUCAUACCCCAGCCGCCGCUGUCGUUGUUCGAGCCGCUCCCUCCGGAGUACGAUGAGCCCAGCCUCCCUUCCGCUGUCCCCUCCUCCCGCCGCCUCAAGCUCCGGCAAGCGCGGUGGGGAGGGCGAGACGGGCGCGGGUGCCGAGGUCCCGAGGACAUUGAAGAUGACGACGGCAAGCUCGGGCGUGCGCACCGACCUCCCGACGGCCCGAGAGAGGGAUGAGAGGAGGGCACUUCGUCGCCCUCGCUACUUCGCCGCCCUCCGCUGCGACAGGGGGGCACAGGCGCCGUCACGCCCGCCGCCUGCCCUGGCCCCACCACUCCCCGCCGCGCCCGCCGCGCCCCCGCCACGCUCGCCGCCCGUCCGUGCGCCGCUGCCGCCGUGCCAGGGGGGCACAGGCGCCGUCACGCCCACCGGCCACCGGCUGCCUCUCCACCACGCCCGCCGCCUGCUCCGACCCCACCACUCCCCGCCGCCCGCGGCCGUGCUUGCCGCCCAUCCGCACGCCGCUACCACCGCGACAGGAGGGCACGGGCGCCGUCACGCCCGCUGGCCACCGGCCGCCUCUCCACCACGUCCGCCGCGCCCCCGCCGCGCCCGCCGCCUGCCCCCGCCCCACCACUCCCUGCUGCGCCCGUCGCCGCGCUCACCGCCCGUCCGCGUGCCGCUGCCGUCGCGCACUGCCCGUUGACGCACACAUGAGAGAGAGAAGGGGGAGGGGGAAGACUGAAGAGAGGUAAUGACAGGUGGGCCCUUGUGUUUUUUUUUUGCUGAUUGGAUUUCCACGUCGAUGCCACGUGUAUGCCACGUAGGAGCAAAACCGCUCAGUAUUGAGUCGGGGGAUAAUUCAACCGGUAUCAAUAGUUUGAGGUGUAAUAUAUCCGGUUUUGUGGUUCGGGGGCUAAUUCGUACUGUCACAAUAGUUUGGGGGGGGGGGUAAAACGUACUUUUUCCAUUUUUUUAUUGAAAAUCGACAUAUGAGAAAAAAGAUAUUUGAAGGGAGAGACGUCCCACCAAAUAUUUUUUAAGAAUAAAGUGUGAGGUUAGGCAUUCAAUAUAGGACCUCGGACUUGAAACACACAUCCCUUGCCACUGCACUAUCAAGUGCAUCUCAAAAACUGAUAUAUGUAUGCGUAAUAUUCGUGGACAUCCAAUUUUAUACUCUGAUUGGUAAGGUCGUACACCCUUAACUCCAUCAUCAUGCUACUAAUGUUUCCCGGAAUCACACCAACUUGGCCGAAUCAGCUUCAUAAGAAUGGAGUAAUUAAAACCCGAUUAACUGGCUCAAAAGGUGGAAUUAUCGAUCGUGAACAGAUGAAAAGAUAUGUCAUGUAAGAUCCACAAAUCUAAUGUGGACGCUUUAAAGGGGUCUUCUUUUUGUAUUUAAGGUGACAAUAUAUGGCAUUACUAGCUAGGAGGACCAACGGUUUUAUGCCCACUGAAAAUAAUGGUUCACCGGCUUCUUGCAAGAGAGAUUGCAAAGGAAAGGAUCGAUGUGAAAGGACAUUUGGUCUGGUGCGUACCAGCUCUCAUUAAGCAGUCUAGCAACUUGAAUUAUUGGUUGUUACUUGUUAAAGUGAGCAAUUCUUUUCUUUAGUCAGAGCUUAAUCACUUUGGCUAUAACAUCAAAUAUUUUCUUCUCCUCCGUGGUAUGUUUUCGUAAACUCGACGUUGUUUUCCGUAAUUCAUAUGGUUCAAUACUAACCUAUGAUGUUACCAUAAAGGAGCAUGGUGUUAUACGCAUUCAUACUACCCUCUUGAAAUAAGUUAUCAAGAACACAUUUUAUUUCAUUAUUGGUGGCUUAACAUAUAUCGACUUAACUAUUAGAAUUUGUGGUUCUUUUAGUAUGUCAACUGUUUUUAUUUUUUAAGAGUAGCUGGGGAUUUAUCCUAGUACUCUUUUUAUUUAUUUCAAUAAGAAUUAAUUGGUUGUGUGCUUCAUGACAGAAACUGGAGAUAUAAUGCAUUUCCAUUAUCUUAAAAAACUGAAUCAUGUAAACCAUCAUUACUAUCAACAUAUCUUUUGAGUUCCAUGUCAUGUUGAAUUAGCUAAGAGACAAAUUAACUAGGGUUGUGUUUGGUACGAAGGGUUAGCAACCAGGCCCUGCACACAUAAAUGGAGCGACUCAUUAGCACAUGAUUAAUUAAGUAUUGGCUAAAAAAUCCAAAAAUGAAUUAAUAUGGUUUUUAAAGCAACUUUCGUAUAGAUUUCUUUUAAAAAAACACAUCAUUUAGCAGUUCGGGAAAUGUGAUUUUGGACAAUAGGAGAGUAAAAGUUGAGAAAAGAGAGUGGUGAACACACCAUAGUUCUAGUUGUCAACGAGUUGUACCAGCCUACGGUAUUUGUAGAGUUUGGGGAUCGUUGGUAUCCAUGUAUAUGCGAGAUUGAGAUAAAAGAGAUGGGAGACAGAGAUUUUUUAUAUAGGUUCGGACCCCUUAUCUGAUAGACAAUAGUUCUACUCCUGUUGGUUGAAGCUGAUGUUUCCUUUAUAUAUCAAUAUUUUAUGAGUAUAAUAUUUGGGAUGACCUAAUAUAGUCCAUGUCGGCCCAACGGCAUUGAGCUCUCACAUGUGGUCAAUGGCUAGCGUAGUCAGCUUCGCCAAAUAUGAAUUCGGCGAGAUUGGAGAAAUCUCUAAAUAUCCCUCAUGUCGACCUUUGUGGCUCCUACAUAGGGUUUGUCUAGAUUUGUAUUGGCUUGUCUUCCGUGUUCGUCUGUCUAAAUCUGUCUAGACAUGUCCUCUCUCCUCUUAGCUAGGGGGUCUUAUAUUUAUACCCUCGAGUCUCCCAUUAUCCAUAUAGAUCUAGAAAGACAAGUUUGGAUAUGAUCCAAGUAGUCUUUGUAGUGUCCGAGUAGGACUUUAUUUCUCUUUCUUUAUUCAGAAUAGCUUCCAUAUAUAAGGCUUGAUUCUGUAUAAUACUUGGUUUAUGAUGGGUUCCACCACACUUAACACAAAAAUAUUAGGUAUGCCUUAUCAUAAUAUUGACACUAAUUGCAUACAUAUAACCGUUCGGCCAUUGUUUCUUUACGAGGGGAUCUCACCUGAUCAGCCUAGGAUGUCAGUCAGUCCACCACUACUACAAGUCAGUACUCAAUACAACAGAUGAUCGAUCACACAUGGACGACGACAUAUGUCGCGUAUAGGACAAGGCGACAACCAUGUGAUCCCACUGUUGCUGCGGGCGUACGUGCACGCGCGCGCGCGCUACGCACACAAAAUGACCCGCCCGCCCGGCCGCCCGUGCACGCGCCGCUACGCAAGUGAGACACCCCGCGUGGGGCACGCGCGCGCGCGCUACACAAGUGAGCCGGCGCGCGCGGCAGCUAGCGAUCGAUCGAUCGAUAGCCACGCCUCGCGUACGUCGUGGGAGGGGGCACCGGAUUCGACGGGAAUACGGGGGCUUUCCCCCGCGCGCGCGCGCGUCGAUCUGCUGCGUCGUUGCACUGCACGUACGCGCCAAGCAGUCGUGGUCGACGGCGUCGUCGUCGUCGUCGGGUUGGGUCGAUACCUGUUUUGAGCCGCGCGCAGGUCGCGGGGCGGCUGGGCGGUUGGGCGUGCGGCGUUUGAUGAUUGGUUGUUUUUUUAUGUUGUUGUUCUCUCUCCCUCGCGGUUGUGUUGUGUUGUGUGGGGGGAGAGGAGCAUAUGGAGCCGGGCAGCCGGCCAAGCGGGGAUUCUUCGAGGCCCCAGAAUAAAUUAAUACUAUAUUCUUUCACCUGUUUGUUGGGUUCCAUUGUGACUUUGUGUGAGUGAUUCGAAUAAUUUAGAAGAAGCCUUCGGCGGGUACUCCUCUGCUAGGUGUCGAGAUCUUGGACGGUUGUUUGCUUUGCACAGCUGAUGCUGAUGCUGAUGCAUCUUGGGUUUUGUUUUCUUUUAACCCCUAUAUUUGCUUUUUCUUUUUUGUUUGUCUACAUGUGCACGGAUGCAUAUGACUACGUACCUACAACACAUUUACAUGCCUAUGAAUACGAGUCUUUUUAGCACACGACGAAUAUGUAUGUGAAUCUUGCCAAUUUUUAAUAAAACUAGCUGGGUGGCCUGCGCAAUUGCGCGGCUAGCACCCAAACAAAAUCAUAUAUUUUUUAAGUAUGUUUUUACUUAAAAUUUAUUAAAUAGCUAUCUCGUUGUCUUAAGACUUUGAAAAAUCUUAUCAUCCCCGUGUUUCUAAUUAUAUAGUUUUUAAAAGUCACACCAGCUGCUAUCCCUUACUUUUGUCAUCUCCUUAUUUGUUUGCUUGCUUGAUCUACCGCUAUUACUAUUCAUUAUACUUGUAACCUUUAAAAAUUGGAUCUUAUAGUUUUUCGAGUUUACUGUCUUCUUGUGUUUCUUUUUAUAGUUUCAUUAUACUCAUCUACGGCUCGUUCAUUGUGUUAUAUCUUUAUUGUCAUUAGGAUUUUAAAAAUCGAACAUAAUUAUCGUUCGGGUUCCAUUUUCUACUUUCUAGAAGUCCCGCCAAACCGUAAGCGGUUUUGCCAUUGUACUCCUCUAUGGCUCGCCCACUGCCUCCCUUCUUUAUUGUCAUUUUAUUGUCAUUGAGAUUUCAAAAUCGAACAUGAUUAUCAUUGUUUUUUUCUACCUUUUAAAAGUUCCGAACCUUUAAAAAUUGGACUUUAUAGUUUUUAGACUUUAUUGUCUAGUUUAGUUUCACUUUUUAUAAUUUUUAAAAGUCUUGUCAAACGAUGCCACUAUACUUCUAUACGACCCGUUCGCCGCCUACUCUUUAUUAUCAUUGAAAUUCUAAAAAUCGAAUAUAACUAUCGUUGGAAUUUAUUUUUUAUUUUCUAGAAGUCCCGCCAACCGUCGGCGGCUCUGCAACUAUACUCCUAUACAUCAUGCCCGCUGCUUCUCCUUUUUAUUGUCAUUGAGAUUUUAAAAAUCGAAUAUGAUUAUUAAUGAGGUUUAUUUUUUUACUUUAUAGAUGUCCCAGCAACCAUCUUGCCCAUUUGCUUCACGUCCUACCUGUCGUCCCUCCUUUUAAUCAUCAUUAGAAUUCUAUUUGGUUUUUUAUUGAUAGUUUUUAUUAAUCGUAUCAACCACCACCACUCUACUACUUUAUAGGCCUGUUACUUAAUUUAUCUCGUCGUGUGUUUUAGAUGGUGUUUUCUUCUAAUAUUCAUUAUUUUUUAUACCAAUUUUUGUUAUUUAUAAAUUGUAUUCCUAAUUGAAAUCUUUUUUCUUUUUCUAAUUUCAGAAUUUAUUUAUUUUUUGUUUCAAAUUUUAAUUAAUACCGUAUAGUGUUCUUUUAUUUAUUUUUUUAAAUUUUAGUUGUUUCAAAAUUGUAUUCCUACUUAACUCUCUUUUAUUUUUUUCUAUUUUUGGAUAUUAUUUUAUUUUUUGUUCUGAAUUUUAAUUAAUCUCGUAUCGGAUUCUUAUAUGGAUUCUUCUUUGAAUAUUGCUUAUUUUUAAUUCCGAAUUUUAGUUAAUUUUAAAUUGUAUUCCUACUUGAACUCUUCUUUUCUUUUUGCUAAUUUUGGAUUUUUAUUUUAUUUUUAUUACGAAUAUUAACUAAUCUCUCUUUUAUUUUUGCUAAUUUCAUAUUUUAUUUUUAUUUUUGUUUCGAAUAUUAACUAAUCUCAUAUUGGGUUUCUUAUAUGUAUUCUUCUCUUAAUAUUCCUUAUUUUUAAUUCCAAAUUUAAGUUAUUUUUAAAUUGUAUUCUUAUUUAGACUCUCUAUUUAUUUUCUAUUUUCUAAUUUUUUUAUUUUUAUUUCUAAUUUUAAUUAAUCUCGUAUUGGGUUCUUAUAUGGACUAUUCUUUCAAUAUUGUUUAUUUUUAAUUCCAAAUUUCAGCUAUUUUGAAUUGUAUUUCUACUUGGACUCUUCUUUUCUUUUCCUCCUAUUAAUGUGUUAAUUUCUAACCCCCACAGCAAACGUGGUGCCUCCUUUCAAAGCUUUUUUAAUAAUAUAACUAGCAUGGUGGCCCGUGCAGAUUGCGCGGCUAGCAUCAUUAUAUUUUCUCUCAUAUAAUAGUAUAUAUCUUUUCUCAUUAUAUUAUUCAAAUAUAUUAAAAUGAUAGCAUAAUUUUAAAUUUUGCAAUAACUUUACAAAACUACUAAUAUUCAUAUUGUAUUUUAUAUACGUGUUAGUUAUUAAUUAUUUUUAAUAUCAAAUUUUAGUUAUUUGUAAAUUAUAUAUAUUCCUAUAUGGACUCUAGACUCGUCUUUUAAUAUUUCUUUUCUUUAAUUCCGAAUUUUCUAUAAAUUGUAUUUCUAUAUAGACUCUAUGCUCUUUUUCUAAUAUUAUUUAUUUUUAUUUCUUAAUUUUUAUUAUCUCUAAUUGUAUUUCCAUGUGGACUCUGAACUCAUCUUUCAAUAUUCUUUAAUUUUUAUUUUUGAAUUUGGGAGAAUAGCUACUUUAGUCCCUAAAGUUUCUCUGUAGGAUCAGUUUAGUCCCUAACCUUUUAAAUGGUCCAAAGAAAUCCUUAAACUUUGUCAUAAGGUCUAGAAUAGUCCUUGGGUCCACCAAAAUCAUUAUAUGGAUAUGCCAUGUCAUCAUUCAUGCAAAAUCUAUGAAGAAUUGUCCAAUUUACCUUUACGUAUAUCAUACAAAAAUAAAUAUAAGGAUGAAUUAGACAUAACCAUAGGAAAAAAUACUUAUCCUUUUUUUUCACCCUUUUGAGGUAUAUUUUUGCUCUUACAUUUUACCUUUUAUUUUUUAUUUUCCUAUGAUAUAUGUAAGGGUAAAUUGGACAAAUCAUAUAGAUUUUGCAUAGGAAUGUGACAUGGCAUGUCCAUGUGGCGAUUUUAGUGGGACCAAGGACUAUAUCAAUCCACAUGACAAAAUUAAAGGAAUUGUUUGGACAAUAUGAAAGAUUAAGGACUAAAAUGACCCAGGAGCGAAACUUUAGGGACCAUAUUAGCUAUUCUCCGUUCGAAUUUCAAUAGCUUCUAAAUUGUAUUCCUAUAUUGACUUUAAACUCUUAUUCCUAUGUUUUUCUUAAUUUCGAAUUUUAGUUACUUGUAAAUUGUAUCUUUAUAUAGACUCUAAACUCUACUUUUAAUUUUAUUAUAUUUAUUCCAAAUUUUAGUUAGUUUUAAAUUCCUAUAUGGACUCUAUACUCUACUUCUAAUAUUCCUUAUUUUUUAAUUCCGAAUUUCUUUUUUUCUUAAUUGUAUUUCUAUAUGGAAUCUAUACUCUACUUCUAAUAUUCCUUAUUUUUAAUUCCAAAUUUCUAUUAUUUCCUAAUUAUAUUUCUAUAUGGACUCUAUACUCUACUUCUAAUAUUCCUUAUUUUUAAUUCCGAAUUUCAAUUAUUUGUAUUUCUAUAUGGACUCUAUACUCUACUUCUAAUAUUCCUUAUUUUUAAUUCCGAAUUUCAAUUAUUUGUAUUUCUAUAUGGACUCUAUACUCUACUUCUAAUAUUCCUUAUUUUUAAUUCCGAAUUUCAGUUAUUUCCUAAUUGUAUUUCUAUAUGGACUCUAGUCUCCUCUUCUAAUAUUCCUUAUUUUUUAAUUCCGAAUUUUAACUAUUUCUAAAUUGUAUUUCUAUAUGGACUCUAGUCUCCUCUUCUAAUAUUUCUUAUUUUUUAAUUCCGAAUUUCAGCUAUUUCUAAAUUGUAUUUCUAUAUAGACUCUGUUUUUUCUUUUUCUCCGAUUAAUGUGAGAAUUUCUAGGUCAUGAGAACGAAUGUUGGGGCUCAUUUUUCUAUUCUUUAAUAAUAUAAUAGAUAAUAGAUAGAUACAUAGAUACAUAGAUAAAACGUGUGCGUAUAUGUAACUAUGGGCACCGAAAUUUUAAACCUCGACUUUAUAGCACGUAAGCAGAUUUUACGGACCUGCUUGUUGCUCAUGAGUUAUGAAGUCAAAUAUGGAUGCGUGAAGGCACCAAGAUUUGAAUUUUACAUACACCUUCAGAUUUUCCCCUUCGAUGCAAGGAUUUGCGCAUGUUAAAAACUAAUGGACAAGAUCUAAUUACGUUGUAUUGUACCUCCGCUUGUCUUCUCUCUUUUGAAAACGCAACCCUGAAGGGAUAGGUUCUGAUAUUACUAGAUCCCGAUGAGAUCUCCUCGCUGUCACAGGAAUCAGAUCUUAAAAUUAUGCACACCAUUGACAAUAACUCUGUCUCCAAGUGAUAAAUUAAAUCAACCUGCCUGUCAGAAUCAACCAAACACAGCCCAAGAUUCCAUCUUCAGAAACAGAGCUCUUGCCAGCUACAACCAGAUUUAGUAAGCCAUUGCUCACUUGUUCCUGCAGCAAACCUGAAGAUUUUCAUGUAAGAUCAACCAAAGCUGUGGAGUUCUUUCUAAUUUGUUGCCUCAUGCACGUUCAGAUGGGCAGAUCUUGAUAUGAAGCGCCAGAACAUUGGGUAACAUGACGUGACCUGCUUGCUAACGUCAGCACAACAUACCACGUCAUCAAAAUGGAAAUGACCUAUUUAGCCCUAUAUAUGAUUAGUGAUAGUAAUAUGGUCUUUUAUCUAUAGCAAUGCACAAGCAUUGGAUUGGUAAAUGUUAAAUUCUUCAAGUAGGCUAAGGCUCUAUUUGAGAGCUGGAUACUCUGAGAAGCAAUUGGUUAGUCUAGAUAAAGUAAAUUAUUUAUUUCUGAAUUUUGUAGCUACUAAGUCGAAUUUAAACUGUUGGGUUAAUAGGUGUAGUUGUAGCGGCUAGAAACUCCCCGAACAUACCAACGAUCAUCUAUCUCAAGAUUCUACAAAAUAUUAACUGCAAGAAGUAAUUCAAAAAUUCAAGAAGGGUGGUGCACAUUUUCCAACAAUCUGGAGAACUUAAGUUCAUCCUUCAUAAAGUUCUCAAAACAGCUCCAAAUCCCACGGCCUAAUCUUGCUCCAGAUGCAUUGCAAUCCGAAAACUUUUAGCUAGCCCAAUUCCAAUCUCUACAUAAUUCCCUCCCCCUUUGGCUCAUAAUUAUCCUGAGCCACCAAUAUACACAGUUACACCACAUAUAUAGAUAUAUUUGGUUUCCUGUAAGGAUGCCAAAAUUUCUCCAUUUUUUUUUCAUAAUUUUUUCCCUACUCCGGCGAUGCUAGGCGGCGGCUACGGCGCCGCUGUUGCCGGACUUGUCAGAGCCGCCGCCGCCUUCCCGCUGGAAGCAUUUCUUCUCGUUGAGCUCAUCCAGGUUCAUCUGCUGUUGCCUGCACUCAUGGCUGCAGAAGGCCACUUCACCCCUGAAUGAAUUCAAGAACAAAAACUCAAUUAUGAUUCAUUUACCAAAAAAAAAAGUAAUAUGGGUAGUUUGAUUAAUUAAUGAACUAUCUUCUUGUUAGUUAAAGAAGGGCAGAUCAGCUACUGUGAUAGCCUUUUUCUCUUUUCAAAAAAACUGCCACUUGCAUGCACACCAAGAAAGGGGAAAUUUUGAUUCUUUUUCCUUCAGAAGAAAAGGGGGGAAAAUGCGUUCUUUGUUCAUCCGACCGAUGCAAAAGAGUGAGUGACACAAAAGGUAUUUUGAUGAUUAGCCAUGCCCAUGACUGUAUAUCCAAUCAUGCAAACCAAACGGAGCAACUGAUUCCUUUUUUUACAUCCUAUUUGUACUUGAUUCUUGCAAACGGAGCGGCACCGCACAAGUGUCACAUUCAUGCAUACAUACAACACAGUAUUUAUUAAUCGCAAAAAAAAAAGAGAACGAUUAUAAAGACAGGCUGCGUUUAGUUAAAUCCAAAGUUUGAAUUUUGGUUGAAAUUGGAGAUGAUGUGACUGAAAAGUUGUGUGUGUAUGACAGGUUGAUAUGAUGGAAUUUUGCAAGAUCCAAAGUUUGGAUCUAAAUACACCCUAUAGGGAGAAUCAAACGCAAUGAACAGACGGAAUAUUCUACCAAAACAGGAAGAAUCUGAUCAAACAAGAACUCAUUUCAACUUAGGAAAAGGCACAGAUCGAAAUAUGUUUUUUUUCCUCAACAUAAUAUCAGAUCAUCCAAAACUACUACUAGUACAUAUCCAAGAACAAAAUAAUUAAGGAAGACCGGCAUAAACCAGUCAAUCCCUUAAUCUCAAGAUCAGCAAGAACUAGCUCAAACAAACCAAAACUGAUCAAAAUAACCGCAAAUCUUUUGUUUGAAAAAAUAUCAAUCUCGAGGAAAGCAUGCAAGAUUUGACCAAAAUAAGAGGCAAUAAAGGGAAAAAAAACAGAGCAGCUUGCUUGCUUGCUUACAUGUAAAUGAAGGUGUCGCGGCCGGGGCCGAGGCGGCGGUUGCAGAUGCCGCACGCCUUGAGGAACGCCGCCGUCUCCGCCACGGCGAAGUCGCCGGAGUGCCUCCUCUGCAUGGCGCCCCACCCGGGCGAGGGCGCCGCCGAGCCACCACCUCCGCCGCCCCUCGCCGCCCGCGCCGGCGGCUGCCUCCCCUGCUGCUCCUCCUCCUCCGCCACCGCGAACCCCGACAUGCUCGUCGUCCGCCGCAUCGAGCUGUUGUUCCUGUGCCUCUUCCCCAGCGUCGUCAUGCUUCUUUCCAAGGAUUUUUCUUCUCCUCCUCCCCUCCUCUCCUCUUCUUGGGGUGGAAGUGUUCGAGCUCGAGCUCGAGAGAGAGAGAGAGUGGGGGAGGAAGAAGAGGGAGAGAGGGGUUGGUUGUUAAAAUAGGAGGGAGGGUAGGGGAGGGAAUCUGGGUGAUCUGGGCCGUCCAUUGGAAUCUAGGGGGAUACUUUCCCUUCUCCAGACUGAUGCAACUCUUAGGGUGUGUUUGAGUAGAACGGGAUUGAUGAGAUUGAGAAGAUACGCAAAACGAGGUGAGCCAUUAGCUCAUGAUUAAUUAAGUAUUAACUAUUUUAAAUUUCAAAAAUAGAUUAAUAUGAUUUUUUAAAGCAACUUUUCUAUAGAAAUUUUUUGCAAAAAAACACAUCGUUUAGUAGUUUGAAAAGCGUGCGCGCGGAAAACGAGACUUAAUCUCCCCUAUCACCCUGGAACGAACAGAGCCUUACUCUAGGAAGGGUUUUGUGUUGGUAUGGUCUAUGGCUUCGAUUUCUUUUUUAUGAAUUUUGUUUUCUAAAACAUAGUACAAGCCCUCGUAAGAUAUGCGUACGCACUCCUAUGAAUACAAAACAUACACAUCCUAUCCAUAGGAGCAUCUUCGGAAAUACAAAACACACACCCUAACUCUAUGAGCAGCUCUAGAAGAAUAAACCGAUAUAUCCUAAGAUUGACGAAUGCAAAACACAAACACCCUACACUAUGAACAUCUCCAGAAGAAUAUGCAAGUAUAUCUUGAGAUUGACGAAUGCGAAACACCCACACUCUACCCUAUGAGCAUCUCCGAAAGAAUAGAUCGGUAUAUCUUGAUAUUGACGAAGUCAUCACGGACGUUAUAUCUUGAGAUUGAGAAUACAAAACACACACACCCUAUCCUAUGAGCAUUUCCGAAAGAAUAGAUCGGUAUAUCUUGAUAUUGACGAAAUCAUCACGAACGUCUUACCACUAAAAGAAUAAUUAGCCGUAAAUACGAGCAUUCAUGUCAAGUCUAUGUCUUGAACUCGGAAGAGUUGGUUUCAUCACAAGAACCAUAGCCAAUUGAGUUAAAUGUUUAUGAAUUAUAGUUUUAUAAUAAUUUUGAAUACUUUUGAUAAUAGGCAUUUCAACACUCAUGGGAUAUUUGUUCAUAUACUGUCAUCUUGGAGUAAGAGUUUUUUUUAUUCAACACUCACGAUUAAUCAACAAGAAUGGUAGUGCUAGGAAUUCCGUAAAUCAAAACAUACAUUACGAAAACCAAUAGAAAAUGCUGUACAUUCUGACUUUUUAGCAAACCAUUGAAACCAGAAAUGAGAGUAUGUGUACUUAGAGAUCGUCCUAGUUGUGCAAAGGCGGAAAAACAAUGGUUUAUUUGAAUAGUUUGUUAAAAGAAUAUCAAAAUGUACAACCCUAAUAGAGAGUAUUGGUCAGCAAUAUACUCCCUCUAGUUAUAAUCAUAUAUCAUAUAGUUCAAUGUAAUUACUGCCUUCGAUCACAUAGUUAGUACAUAAGAUCCAUCGCUAUAUAUAUCGCUGACGUAUCAACUAAUUCUCUGCACAUGACAAACACAAGUUCAGCUUUGCAACCUUUCCUCCACUUCACCUUUCUUUUAACACAUCACAUACACACACGUACCAAAGUUCAACUUUUUUCUCAUGUGUCAAAUCUAAACAAACCUUGAAAGCACAUAUGUAAUACAUAUGCAUCACAUCCUACAGUGGCUCAACUCAAGAUUCUAAGAUACAACUGAUGAUUUUUUCUUAAAAAAAGCGAGAUAGGUUUUCUAGUUUCUGACUUCAAAUUUAUCUUUUGAAUUUUUCAAACACAAACAUUGGGUAAGUCUGAAUAAUUCAAGAGGAUGAAAAAUUAGUUGUUUCAGUUAUCAGAAGCUCCUCGAAUAUAACCAAGAUAUUCCAUCCCUUCCAUUUCAAGUGCAGCCGUUAAUUCUUGUGUUCAACGUUUGACCAUUUGUUUUAUUUAAAAAAUUUUAUGAUUAAUAUUUUUAUUGUCAUUAGAUGAUAAAACAUAAAUAAUACUUUAUGUAUAACUUAUUUUUUAAAUUUUUUUUCAUAAAUUUUUUAAAUAAGAUGAACGGUCAAACGUUAUACAUUAAACAUACAAUUACAUUUAAAAAUGGAACGGAUGGAGUAAUAUAUAAGAAGCACAUAGCCAUCCAGCGACCUUUAGAGUAGCCAAUAAUGCCACGACGCAUCCCGGCGCCAUGUUCGUGUCCGGCGUGCGUGCUGCGCUUGGCCGGCCGGCACAGCUGUGCGGCGGUCGGCGAAAGGCGCCGGAGGGAGACAUCUCAAUAUCCAUCGCAUGCAUGCACAGGCCGGGCCGCGAUCGAUCUCAGCUAAGCCGAGAUGUCGUCGAUCAGUACGCCAUUUCAUCCGUAGGCACGCACAGCCAGGCAAACGACUCGACGGCGGUGUCACGCGGUACGGCGCGCGAGCUCUCGGCCUUCCAGGUGGCCAUGACGACGUACGAUAGAUCGAGAUGCCCCGGAACACGCCAAGCCGUCACCUGUCGUCGGCGAGACGAAUUGAAGCUGACGUUUCUUUUUUUUCGCUCUCGCUCUCUUGCUCUGAAAGUCUGCAUAAUUAAUCGUUCAAUUAUUUGAUUCCGUGACGGCUCAAUGCAGAGAAAAAGAUCCUCUCCCCUGCUAAAGCCUAAAAACAUAUGGUUGGCCAUGGUGUGUUCAGAAGUCAUGCAUGGUACUAAGCAGAGUAGUCACUACGUUGUCGACUAGACAGAGAAAAUUUGGUUUGUAUCAAAAUAGGACCAGAUAUUAUUUUGAAGCAUGAAUAUUAAUUUAGACGGCUACCUUUUUAUAAAUUUUUGUUGCACGUGUCAAAAUUAGUUAACGUUGUGGCUGCUUUCGUCUGCUCGGAUCUCUUAUGUCACUUGUAGGUGGAGCAUCUUUAUUCUCUGUUGAUUGAUCUUUUGUUUUUUAUAUAUGAGUUAUUAUAUUCGACACAAUUAUAUCUGUAUGUAAUUGGAUUAGUAGGUAAAAAAAGGUAUAAUCACGUUGCCCAAAUUUUUUUUUGAAAGGCUCCAAUCGUUUAUACCGCUAUUAGAGACUAAUCCUGUACCGUCCACUCCCUUGAAUUGUAAAUAGCAUCAAUGGUGACUAAUUUAAAUAUAAAACUGUAUGAAUAAUGUUUGCCUAGUCAGUGCUCACAAUACCUGCCAAAUAAAGCAACCACAGUACCACACAUACCAUAUGCAAUGAUGCAAGCAGAGACGCGAAAACGCCAUACUAGAUUCGGCGUCGCAAAAAAUCACACGUAUGCACGCACAAAGACACAAAUGGCCGGUUUACAUGAAUGUGACGAGCUCAAAAGCAAAGCUUGUGAAAAAGAGAAAGCUGAGUUCUCUCGGCCAGCAUCUUUAAUUGUGCCUCCUUUUACAUUUCUCAAUAGAUCUGUUGGUGUCACCCAUUAACUCCACUACUCCAGGACAAACUUUGCAUCAUGGGGGUAUAUCAUAUUAUCAUGUUUGGGAGAUGAUGCGAGCAAGAGAGAAAAUGGAUGAAAAAUUGCAAGGGAAAGUGAGCCAUGGAAAGAUGCAUGCAUGCAUCAGCCAUUGAAGUUGUCAUCUCUGCUAGGUGGUGAAUGGUCUACACAUUCUUGAUUCUUCACAUAAUAAUAAUAAUAAUAAUAAGCCCAUUGUCAUAGGCCAGCUGAGCCCCAUUACACGUGGCCGCCACCAAAUUGUGGGGCCAGACCUCUGGCUUCUUCUCUUUUUCACUGUCGUCUGGGCCUUCUUCAGGCAAUUUCAGGGGUUCACAUUGCCAGUGGUUCCACCAUGUGUCGCCCCCUGUCCAAUGGCUCCGUUGAAAGUUCUGAACAUGCUGCAAAUUUAUAUGCAGUUUCAGGCCAACGAAAGGGGUCCCGUGCGUUAUGGUUAAUUGGUUAUGGUCUCUUUAUGGCGCAAAACAAUGUAAAUUUUGACUCAAUUGUUUGGCACUGUCAGGAUUUCAUAAUAGUUUUGAGAGAAACGUCCAAGUGGACAAUGUUAAAGUUGUGAUACCUACCUUCCAGCCGUAAGAGCUGUUUUCUUGCUUGAUGUCGGAAGCACAACUGGAGCCAAUGUCCACCCUGAUCUUGAAAUCUUCAUACCCAAUAUCUCUCAAGUUACAACUUCUUCAUGCCUAUGAUUCCAGUAAUUAGUACUCCUAAUAAUCUAGAGAAGAUUCCCCUUAACUUUAACGACAUGAUUCAGAUAGCUGCUAUAUCUAAUUAUGUAUAGAAUGACUUAUAUUGUGAAACGGAGAAAAUAUACAGUAUACCUUUCAGUACAAACAUACACCUUUUUAAUUGACUUUAAGAUCCGUGCAGCUUAUAGGAGUGCGGAAGCAUUUACACCAUUUACAAAUAAAAAUCCCGUGGAAAAAAAUGAAUCAAUUCAUUACAAUCAGUACAAAAUAUGACUCAUCUGUUCUCUUUUAUCUCACAGAAAGGUACAACAAAACGACAAAUUUCUCUGCAGGCUAUUUACACUGAUGCACAAAUAUGGUAACGUUUAUAGCAGAGUAUGGAAAACAAGAACACUCUCUCAACUUCUUAUGGAUUUUAACUUACACAGAUAACCUAACUAUGUAGAUACUUGUCAUUUGUUUGACCAUUGGAAUUCAAUUUCCAGGUUCCUAUUAGGACCGCUUUUACUCUCUGGUAGCAAGGUGUAUUCGCCAGCAACGGAGCCCAGCAUGACAACCCGAUCGAUCUGGAUUGUCACCUUACCAAAUGAUUUCUGCAACAGCAGUUGGAGAGUGAGGAUGCGAAUACAACGGCUAAGUGCUUGGCUUACGUGCAAAAUGGUGUGUAUGCGUGCUGAAUCUUCUAUAUGAUCGUAAAAGAAACAGAUAAAUGAUCUAAGAUGGUAAAAAUAUUAUAUCCAGUAUUUUCGUACCUUUCCGAAUUUGCUAUUGUUUUUGCAGGAGAUAUGAAGCUUCUGCCCCUUUGGAGGGCUGUCAAACGCCCACGCAAAGGCUUCAUCCCAUUCAGGUGUUGCACCAGUUGAGACAAUCUGCGUUUCACAGCACGUUAGUGGAACGCAAAACAAAAGGACUAAAGCCACAGUGAUAACAAUGGUGAAUUGACAUAUGAGCUACUAUCAUUAUAAUAAAAAUGGCAAACAUCUAAUUCAAAGUGCAGAUUGUCAGCAUAAGAAAACAGACAGCCAUAAACACAAAAAGGCACUUGAAAAUAGAAGUUAUUGUAAUUUAUAGUAUUAACGAUAAUAUUGGGGACAGUUUACAUCAGCAAAAAACUUCUGUAGAGAAAUAUGUAGUAUGAUGACAACUACACCAUCUGUGAACACUUCCUACAAUCAAUGACUCCCUUUUCCUGACAGGUUGGUCAACCUUUUUUUUCAGUGCAUUUGCUGUUCACAGGUAAACGGAAAAAUCUAGAGUUGUGCUAUUUUUGUACUCCUAAAACAGUUAGGAAUUUGAUGGUUGAUUUGAGUUACGAUCCUUUACAUUGGAUAUCAGUAAUAGGAUUAGUAACCCCUGAUGGAUUCUAUCCUUAAGGCUGUGUUUGGAGGUGGGUGUUGGGAACCCAUCUCCUAUCCACGGAAAACGGAGCGGUUCAUUAACACGUGAUUAAUUAAGUACUAGCUAAAUUUUUUUUCAAAAAUGGUUCAAUAUGAUUUUUUUAAACAACUUUUGUAUAGAAACUUUUUUCAAAAAACACACCGUUUAGCAGUUUGAAAAGCAUGCACGCGGAAAACGAGAGGUGAGUGUUGGGAACUUGCUCUUGCAAACACACCCUUAACCUUGUAAAUAAUAGAAGGUCCAAGAAUUAGAAGAGGUAGGAAAAACAUUGAAACAGUAAACCUUCAACGAAAUCCAAUUGGGCUCAGCCCAAAACCCAAUGUGUGAACUCGAUAAGACUAAAAUCAGACCAGGUGGCGCAGAGUAAAAGUGGACAAAUAAAAAAACCAAUCCAAAGAAGAUUUUUUUUUUUGCGAUGAAUCCAAAGAAGAUAUUAAAAAUGUUAACUGUGGGUCGUAGCUAGUUAUCUAUUGUCAGCGUGAAUGCACAGAAUCAUACUGUGGAUCAACAGCUCUGUAAUGAAUAACAAGCAAAUCUGUCCGUACCUUUGUCAGCCUUGGCGGAUUAUUUCCAAGAGUAAGCUUGCAAAAUGCGCUAGGAUUUCCAACUGAUUGCCUUAGAUUGUUGCCACGCUUUAUAGUAACUGUCAAAGUACCAGGCAAGCACUGAAGAAGCAAUUCUGCCUUUUCUUGGAACCGAGGUGGGCCAGACUGUAUCAAGUACUGAAGUAGCGGAAUAGCCUCUGAGGCAGCAACUGACUGAGCUUUAAAUAUUUCUGCUGCACAAGCUCCCCAUGCUUGUCUAAGAAGAUACAGUGAGUCCAGUGCAGCUUCCUGGGUUGCCUCAGAACCAGUCUUGAGAGAUGUUACAAGAUGAGGAAUGCAUAAGGUAGCAGGUUCAGUGACCCUUAAGCGAGGGAAGUUACUAAGUAGAGCGUUAAGAGCCUUAAGAUACUCCUCAUUAGCACUCCCAGAUGCCCAUAUGUCCUUCUCAAUUGAAGCUGCAUGCAAAACAUUGUAAUCAGAUGUGUAAGUAAAUUCUCAGUAUGAGAAAAAAGUGCGUAUUCAAAGGUUGCCAGAAGAAAAUUGUUUUUUUUACACUGAAACUUAUACUUAAAAAUGCCUCCGUAUAAAAGCAUUAGAACAUAUACUCAAUGUAAUGCAAAGCAUAAAUGGUCAAACAACUUGAUUCUUGCUAGAUAUCGUUAAAUUAACCUGUUCAUACUAAAGGUAGUGGUCAAACAAUUAUAAUGGAAAAAUAACUAAUACAAAAUGGGUAUGACAGAAAUAAGGAAGUCUUAAUUACCAGUUAUAACUCUGACUGUUUCACUAGUGGCAUACUCUUGGAUAGUGUGGUUAUUGAAUAGAAGUUUAACAAACAUAGCUGCCUGAACAGAGGUAUCAGGAUUGCUUGAACUGAUAAGAUCCAGCAGAACCUGGACGCCACCCGAUUCUGCAACUGCCCUCUUAUUUGCUCGGCUAUACAUCACUAGAUUCUGCAAGGCACAAAUGGCUACCACUUUCAUCUCUUCAGUUGGCUGGUCUUCAAGAAGAUUUACU